rnacentral:lncRNA from 1 species
GUCACCAGUUUGCCGUGCUUGGCAAUUGAGUCCCCGAGGUGCCUACCCAAUGCCACCGCAUUCUCGAGAGCCAAACGCCCCCCUAGCCCAAGUCGGGAGUCAUCGGGUGCAUUGUCUCCAGCCACCGUGACAUUUGAUUGGACUAGGUUUCCAAACAAAAUGUCCCAAGGAUAUCGGAAUAUCAGUGGCGCCCAUGUCAAACUCAAAAGAUCGGAGUGCUUGACGACAUGGAGGUACACGGGUUGGAAGUCCUUUGCCAAAUUUUCCAUCACCUUCCUUUGUAUCAUUUCUGGAUCUGCUCCUUUUUCCAUACCUUUAUGAAUGGAAACGUUAGGGAUCAAGGAGGAUUAGUAAGCUACUAUUGAAGGAGCCAUCGUAACCUCAGCGGAAGAUAAAGUGGAAUAUAUAUGGUACCUUUAGGAGGACACACCGCUAUGAAGAACCAGAACACUUCCUUAUCAUUGAGAGCAAUAAAAACCUGCCCUCUUGCCCACAUUCACAAAAUGUUGAAACACAUGGCCAUGGUCAAAACCAUGACCCUUUGGGAAUACGGACAACCACGUACUGCCGACCGGCCUGAAUAGAUUGGCGGGCAAAGUCCAAGCCAAUGGGCCAAGAUAGAGUGCACGUCAUCGUAUCCUAUAACAACCUACAUGUAUAGUACUUACAGUGUGGAUAAGUUAACCUCAUCAUAUUUGAAUUCAAAAGAAGGUUCUCUAGAAAUUGUAGGGACAAGCUCAUGCUUGGCAGCGUCAAUUCCAGUGCAGGAAGCCAAAUAGAAGUACGAAUUGGAGUUGCCGCAAGAGCAGGCUGUAUCCGGUUCACGUGCUCUGCGACAGAACGGAACUCCAAAGUUCCAACACAUGUCGAUGGAAGAAGGGGAGUGAAAACCAUGUGAUUUCGGGGGGAAACGCACACGAUAUCAUAUAUGCUCAUAUCAAGCCCCUUCAUAAACAGGCAAGCCGCCCAACCGGUACCAAGAACGACCACCCUUGGCUUUUCUCCAGGCUUAGUCGGUUCAAGACCUGGAUAUCUGUCCCUCUCAUAUUCAGAAUCGGACUCUGCCAAUGCCCUCUCGCGACGGGAAAUUGAUCAAGUGGGGUUGUCCUAAUUCCUCUGCUCCAGUUACUAGCAUAAUCUAACUUACUCGAUGGUAAGCAGUCGAAAAAUCCCUUCUCAUGGGGAAACUUUUGAAAGAAGAAAAGGAAAAUGAAUUCGCGAGUAGUACUCUAAAAUUUCUUCUUUUCCAUCUGCAAGGCUCCCAACAGCACCUCCUGUUCUUCUCAGGUUGCCCCGAACAAUUCUUGCAAGUGCCAUAGAGCAAAACACUAAUAAUUCAAAUGCAAGUCGAUAGCCUGGAUCUUUAGGCCUAUUGAUGAAAUUGCACCUGAGAGAAAAGAGAGGCUUGGGCUUAAUGCUAUAAGAAAAGCAGAAAGAUGUAGAGAAAGAUUAUGCAAUCACUCCAUGAUAUCAGGAGGAGGUAAAGACAACAUGUAGAACAAUUGGAGUUUGGUCCAAGCAAAAUGAAGACAACUAAUUGGUGUGUGACAACUAUUUCUUCAAUGACUUCUAAGACAAAAACAAGAAGCCAACUUAGCUUGAGGCUUGGGCUUAACCGCCGUCUUCGCCCACUUCUCCUCUGGCCUCCAUAGCCUCUGCCCGCCUCCUCCCUGUCCAACUCCUCCCGCGCCCCCUGCGCCGGUGGAGGUCGAGGCCCCCCGCCGCAUGGACAACCCGCACUGCCACCUCGCCCGCUACCUCUGCCGACCACUUGGAUUCAACACCUGAGACUUGAGCUCGAAUGACGGAGGACCGAGACGGCAGUGAGGCGGUGGUGGAAGGCAAUUCACGGGGGUUAAAGUUGACGACAAGUCUGAGUUGAUGUAUGUCUGUUGUCGUGAAGAGAAAAAAAAAUAAAAAGAAAAAAAAUCAAAGGAAGAAAGGAUGCAGGGGCUUCUGCUGGGUGGGUCCGAAUGUGACUGUGCCAUUUUGGCGGUCACAAAUCAAUUAAAUUCUUGAAACUCACUCAUAUCGGGGUAUAAACUUUAUUUUUCACAUACAUCAUAUAAAAUACACGUAUUUAGGGUUUCGUAUGCAUUUUCACAUCUAUAAAAUCAUCAAACAUAUAAAUAAAUACACCACAAUAUAGAGAAUAAUCAUACGAACCAGUAGCCGCAAACCGUGCGCCCGCACGCGCCGCCUGAGUGCACGACGCAUGGAGCACACGCGCGACCGUAAAGACCCCUCAGAUCCAGUCCGACCAGUUCCUGGCUCGACCGUCCGGUCCAACCGUCUGAUCCAAUCGGUUGACCGGUUUGGUCCACGGUUGACUAGUUCGGGCGGGUCAAUGGGUCGUGUCAGCCCCAAGGUCGUUGACGACAUUGUGACAACCGCCCUUGUGCGUGCAACACACGCAUGAGCGGCGCUGCGCGUGGGUCGGAUAUUGAAUGGUUUUGGAUAGGAUUGACGUGGCAUUACUCGUGCACUUGAAUGGCCUGAAACAACGAAGAAAUGGUAAGACAAUGGAGGAAAAUCAAAGGAAGCAGGGGGAGGGAGCAAGAGAUAGAUCGAUCUUGGAUCGUCGGGUUAGAAAAGAAAGAAAAGAAAGAAAAAAUCCUCUAAUGUUAAAUUUCUCCUUUUUUUCAAAAUGUUAAAUUAAAUCUCGAUAUCACAUGAAAUUUUAUGAAAAGAAAUUAUGAAUUUAAACUCGAUGGUUUGCCUCACGACAAUCGAAGGAGUUUUCCUCGUGACUUGGUAACAGGCGCUCCAAAGGGCCAAGUAUCAAGACCAAGCAUGCAUGGAAAGUCAUCUUUUUUUCUCAAGAUUAUUUUAUUCGCUUAUACUGUCAAAUAAAAUACAAUGUGUGACUUGCUGAAUUUUAGUGUACCGUUCAUGAAAAAAAAAGUGGGAAAUCUCUUUUUGUUUGAAACUUAAAGAAGAAGGUCAAGGGUGAACAAGUUAUAUUUGGUUAGCCUUUAUUUAAAUUUCACGUAAUUAUAAAUAAAAAAAAAAGAUCUUGAAACCAAAUGAAAUAUAAUUAUCGAAUUGCUACUUUAAAAAAAAAAAGGAAUCACGCGAAGAAAGAAAAGUCCAUGUUUGCAAACGUCUGUGCUCUUGCGUUUCGCCUUCUGCACAAGAAGGUCCGGAGGGCGGCGCCCAGGACGCCAAGAGACCAUUAAGCCCUCGGCUCUUCACCUCGGAAAAGAAGUGAAGGGGAGGGUAAUUAUGGGAUUUCCACCUCCUAAUUCCUUCCCCCGGCCCCCAAAAAGAAAAAAACAAUCACGAGGUCAAAAGUGGGGAAGACAAUAAUGUUUGACGGCGGCGCUUGGUUGGAAUUUAAGAAAAAGAUAUUCGGUCUGCCAAUAACAGAAGGCACUUCAUUCCAACGAAUCUUGUUACUUAAUUAUAAUUUUUAUUAAAUACAUCAAGAAAAGUACAGUAUCAAUUGAGAAUCUACAUAUCUACCACACUAUCAAAUAAAUAUCAACCCAAACUUAAAAAGAUCCGACCCAAACCUAAUCCUAUGAUGCUCUUGAUCAUCAAGUGAAAAGAUCCAUACGAAAUAAAAAAGAAAAAAAAAAAGAAAAACAAGUGCAACCCUGAGACAAACAAUACGAUGAACUUUUGUGUUAUGCAUUGCAAUAAAUUUCAUCAUCGAUUAUUAAACAAAAUAGAAGACCAAAAUCCGAUUGCAACUCCAUAACUAGAUGGAGCUUUCAGAUUCACAUUAAGGCAAAGGGGAGACACCAUGAAGCUUCCCACAAUCAUAUUCUGUAAAACCUUUCACCACUCUACCCAAGAGGAGCCCAUAGAAUACAUCUCUUAGGGACCUCAUGAAUCGAUUAGACCCAUCUUGUUGCACCCAUCCCGACAAGUACGAUGCUGUUAUCAGUGUCGCCACCCUCAAUCUUCUCUCCUUUGCAUACCUCUCUAUAGCAAAUCCGAUGUCUCCGGUCACCAGUUUGUUGUGCUCGGCAAUGGAGUUCCCGAGGUGCCUACCCAAUGCCACCGCAUCCUCGAGAGCCGAACAUGCCCCCUGGCCCAAGUCGGGAGUCAUCGGGUGCAUAGCGUCUCCAGCCACCGUGACGCUUGAUCGGAAUAGGUUUCCGAACAAGACGUCCCAAGGAUAUCGGAACAUCAGUGGCGCCCAUGUCAAACUCGAAAGAUCGGAGUGCUUGACAACAUCGAGGUACACGGGUGGGAAGUCCUUCGCCAAAUUUUCCGUCACCUCCCUUUGUAUCAUUUCUGGAUCUGCUCCUUUUUCCACACCUUUAUAAAUGGAAGCGUUAGGGAUCCAGGAGGAUUAGUAAGCUAGAAUUGAAGGAGCCAUCGUGGUUGGGAAUCUCAGCAGAAGAUAAAAUGUAGUAUACAUGGUACCUUUAGGAGGACACGUGGCCCCGAAGAACCAAUACACUUCCUUAUCAUUGAGAGCAAUAAAACCUGCCCUCUUGCCCACAUCCACAAAUUGUUGAAUCACAUGGCCAUGUACAAAACAAAACAAAACAAAAAAAGAAUAUUAAUAAGUAAAAUUAUUUUUUUUCAUCAUUGAGAAAUUGUAGGACAAAUCAAGGUCCAGCAUCCUGGAUCAAUAACCGAUUUAAGAAGCUCCCAAAACAGCGAAUCCUAAAAUCAAAUUAACAAAGUACAAAACCAAUGUAGAGCUUAUCUUUCUACUCAGUAUAUCUUGCUUGAAAAGCCUAUUGCUCUUUCUCACUGAUAUUGCACUUUUCCCUUCAUUUGAUGAAUAUCUAUCUAAUUAGUUAGUUUAUUCCAAGCAUUAAUCGCAUUAGCAACCUCAAUAGGUAAAUUUCACGGUGCACUUUACAACUGGGAAUGAUCUCAAUUUUCAUGAUUUUCUCCCCGUGCAAGAUGUGUGACCUCUUUUUGACCAAUUUUUUUAAUACCCAACUAACACAGUUUGUUAAUAACCAAAACAAAACAAAAAAUCAUUGCGUCAUAUGAAGGUCUAGUCACUGCGAUUGAAAUGGGUUUUGAUUUUUUUAACUACUUUUCACUAUAAAAGUGAUUUACUUUGAGUUGGUUUUACCCCCAACGAGCUAGCACAAGAUUAGGAAUAUUUAAUAUCUUCUAAACGAUGCUUACACUAAUUCAGCAUCGAUCAAAUUUGAGUGCUGUCAUCUUUAAUAGCAGAGAAAUCACGCAUUUAACUCUCGAUCUGUACAUGAUUGUUGAACUAAAGAUUGGACCGAGUUUUAAUACUUCGAAACGAUAAAACAUUCCGCAAUAAUCAGACAUCUGUUUUCAAGAGCAAAGAGCGAACAAGGACCUCACUUUUCAAUAGGAGUGUACAGGGCUGCGAGCUUGUCCGAAACGCCGAGUGCAUCGAGCGCAACCCACGCAUUAGCAAAGAGACCGAGACCCGCACCGGUCGUUCGGAGCUCCUCCGAUCUCUCAAAGACGAGGGCUCGUACACCGACCUUCUUAAGGGCCACCGCCGUCGCCAGACCUGCGAUGCCGGCACCGACUAUCACCACCUCCUCCAUGUAUGGUCGUGUUCUACUUCGAGCUUGUGAGAGUGCGCACGUGUGCUUUUUGUGUUUUAUUCGGAUAAGGAAUCCUUAUCUUGUGGUCGCUAUUUAUGGAGUGGCAAACCUGUCGUCUUUUGAUAAUUACGUCCCUGCUUACGCAUGCUACAGAAGCAUCACUGAAUGAAAAUUACAGCCACAGAAUGGAGGGGAAUGGUUGAACGCAACGUGAGCCAUUUCCAGAAAAUUUCGGUUUUUAUUUCAAAAAGAGUGAAAUUAAAAUUUCCAACCUGGAUAUAGACUUUUCAAAGUCAUUGGUUUUUCCAGUUCUCUUCGGUUCUUUUCUUUAUUUUACUAAGCUUUCGCUCUUGUAAGGUGGAUUUGAACUUGCUAUGUUGGAUUUAGUUAUGUGACAUCCGUAAGUUUAGAACGUGUUCCUUUUUAAGCUUUAAAUUUUCUGAUUGACAGUACGAGGGACUUCAGAUUUUUCGUAUUUGCCAAUUUCGAGCUUGGUCUUUAUUAAGGAGUCUUACGUGAGGGGACUGGCUUUCAUUUAAUAAUAUUUUCGUGACAAAGAGCAUUUUGGAUACUUCAGUUGCAGAAAAUCUUUUUUGGUGAAAAUUCCAGCAGCAACGUCAGUGUUUGCGUCAAAUGCCCAGAUUGACCAAACGUCCUCUGUUGACCAUACGAUCGACUAGUCGUCCUCUAUCACGGCUGCUAUAAACCAGGAUGAAUUCAAAGAGGCUUAUUUUGAAUUAAGGCGAGCUAUUUUCAUCCUCUAUACGAAUAAAUUCACUCCUUUUUUUCUCGAUAAACCAAAUCGGCUUUAGUGGUUUCCAUAUAUGCACGGUUUCAUUUAACUUCACUAUUUCCCUUUUAUGAUUUUCCGUCGAAGUCAAACUGAUAUGUAAAGGUGGUUAGAAAUCAUCAAGCUUAGUUAACUAGCUAAUGGAUUAAGUCUUGAAUUGCUAGUUAUUUGUGUAAACCUAGACAAUAAACCUCACACAAAAUAUCUUUGAAUCAAGAUUGAUUUUUAGUUGUGUUCACUCUUUCAACCUUGAACUUCUCAGAAUUUAUGCAUAUCUUAAAAAAAACUAGCCUUUAAAUAGUUUCAUAGAGUUAACCUACUCUAUGUUAGGAAAAUCCCUUAUGAUACUUUGAAGAUAACAAAAUAAAUCAAAAACUAUUAACGUGUUUAAUUGUUGAAUAAUAGACUAUGCAGAUGAUAGAACAUGUAAAUGAUAUUAUCAAAGUUUAUACUUAGAAAAACUAGAAAACUGAACGUAACACAUGUCCAAAGGCUAUUUUGAAUAUUUCUAUACUUCUGUGUCAAAGUCUGAACACAUGUCCAAAGUCUACAUCGGAAGUUUGCUCACUCUGACAAAUUCCAGACUGAACGUGAAUGAAAAACCAGAAGACAGACUCUAUGCUGAAACUGAACCAGAAGACAGACUCUAUGAUGAAGCUGAACUUAUUCAGACUGUGUUCAGGCCUUAAAGUUAAAUCUGCUUAGAAGCAGAAUAUGUUCAGACCUAGAUUGUAAAGUUUAUUGCUCUUCAAACUCAGUUUCAAAAGUCUGUUGUUAUUCAAACUCAGGUUAAAAGUAAAGGUUUUCACUGUAUUUUGCAGAAUUUAUUUUUACACCUAUUCACCCCCAUCUAGGUGUUCAUACUAGUACUUUCAAUUGAUAUCAGAGCCAAGUGCUCAGUUUAUAAAAGUAUUUUUACUUUUGAGCUAAAGAUCUUCUAUGGCUAGUAUCUUGGCACCAGGACUUAUGGAAUGGCAAAGCAACACCAGGCUACCAUAUUUUGAUAGAAAGAAAUACAACGAGUGGAAGAACAAAAUGAAAGCAUUCCUAAGAUCCAGAGAUCCCUUGCAAUGGGAUGUUGUAGAAAGAGGAAUCAAUCCCACUGCUACGCCUACAUCAAAUAAGAAUGGUGAAGACAAAGAAACCAAACUCUUUGCUCCUAUAUCUCGAAUGGAAUUGUCCAAAAGAGAAGCUCUUGAUGCAAAAGCCAUUUAUUAUUUAUAUUGCGUCUUGUUUCUUAUUGAAUAUAACAGAAUCUCUUCAUGUGAAACAGCAAAAGAAGUUUAGAAUAGACUUCAUGUUACAUAUGAAGGGACUAAUCGUGUAAAAGAGACAAAAGUAAACCUCCUGCUCGACAAAUAUGAAUCCUUCAAGAUGAACCAAGGAGAGUCGAUCGGAGAUCUGUUUAGCCGCUUUACAGAAAUUGCAAAUGGUUUGGCGUAUCAAGGUCAUCCAAUUUCUUCCCAAAUGAAGGUCAACAAAUUUUGUGAGGUCUCUCAAAAGAUUGGAACCAUGUCAAGACCUCAAUUCGAGAGACUCGGAGGAUUAUGCCACUCUCCGUUAAUGAAUUGAUUGGCACUCUUCAAUCCUACGAAGUGGAACAAAUUGUUGAUGAAGAUCUCGAAGGUAAGAAGUCCAUCGCUUUAAUAUCUAAUGUUGAUUUUGAUGAUGCAAACUCAAAAAAUGACAAGGACGACGAAGAACUUGCUUUUAUGAUCAAGAAAUUCAAAAGGCUGAGUAGAAAAGGAAGGAAAUUCAGUGAAAGAAGACAAUACAAGCAAAAUGGCCAGAAAAGAACAAUAAAAGAAGAUGACGAGUAAGGAAAUAUAUGCUUGAUGGCACAUUCAGAAUUUGAGUCUGACUUAGACACAAACUCAGAAUCAAAGUCUAACUCAGACACACUCUUAGAUGAUGAAAUCGAGGUAAGUCAUUCAGCCAUUUCUAUCAAAGUUCUUAAGUAUAUAAGUGAGCUUUGCUCAAAUUUCAAAUCUUCUCUUAAAAGAAUCUUUGAACUUAAAAAUGAAAAUUCUUGGCUUAGGCAACAAGAUCUUUCUAGAAAAGAAAAGUUUGAAAUUUUGCAAAAAGAUUUUAUACAAACAAAAGAAAGUCAAGAUUUACUUGUCAAAGAAAAUGAUUCUUUAAAAAAUGAAUUUUCAAAUAUUUCAACAAAAUUUUCAAAUGGAUCAAAAACAUUAGAGCAUAUCAUUUCCAUACAAGUACCUUACUAUAAUAAGUCCGGACUUGGUUUCAAUAAAGAAAGUGAUUCUCUAAUUGAUUUUCUUAAAGUCAAUGAGAGACUUAAACAAAGACCUCCAAAGGCAUUUUACAAAAAUCAUUUUCAAAAAAUGUUUGUAAAACCUGUUGGUGGAAAUGCCCUCAAGUGUUCAAAUUGUGGAGAUUCAGAACACUUUAAGAAAGAAUGUCCUAAAGUCUUGAGAUUUAUUAAGAAAGAUUGGAUAAAACAAGCAUACUCUACUAACUUUCAUGGACCCAAGAAAAAAUUGGUACCAAAGAAAAUGUGAGUUGUUUUUUGCAUGAUAUAAAGAAUAAAGGAAAAGAAGAAAUUGGUAAGGAAUGUAUUUUUUUUUUAUUUGGGCACAUAAUUCUCAUUAUGCUUGAUAUUCGAUAUAUCCUUAGUUGAUUGGGAUUUUAUUCUUUGAUUUGUUUUAUUGAUGAAAUAAUCAUGUGAUUUAUUUUUGUGAUUCGUGAGUUGAGAUUUGAUAUAAUACGUGUGAUAAUUUUUGAUAUGCUGCUUAGAGACAAUUGAGUUUAUUUGGUUUAAUUUUAUGCUUUCAGAUUUUGUCAUAUUUUGCAAAGUGAAAAUAUGUUUUACGUUAUAUUAAUUUAUUAUGCAAGAUAUUUUUUAGAUACUCAAGGAUUUUAUCCACUCUGUUUUUAUCGUACUAUGACUAAGUGAGAAUUUAUUUUUCAAAAUACCAUUGUGCAUAAUAUUCUUUCUUGAAUACUUUAUUAUGAUGAAUUAAGAAAGAAUAUUUGUUUAUCUAUGGAAAUUUUCUAUUUUACUCUAACGAAAUGGAAGGAUCCAAUUGAUGGAUACCAAAAAGGGAAAUGAGUUGAUUGCAGGAAAUUCAAUGAGGCAAGAAUAAUUGUGAAUCUACGCAAAUUUUGGUACAAUAAGAAAAGAAUCUCAGGCGAAAAUUGGUAAUGAUUUUUUUUUUUUGGGUAUAUUUCAAACUUAUACCAUGGGUAAGAGAACAUUUUUUAUCAUCCCACCUUAUAAAUUUCUAUGUGCAUUUAUCAUAAUUUUGGAUGAUUUUUUUAUUAUAUUGCAAAUAUCUUUUGUCAUAAAUAUAAGGCAUUGCAAUUUUGGCACGUGAGAAAUAUCUAUUUUCUUUUUGCAAAAUGCACUAAUAAUAUAUUUUUUUAGUUUUACGCUCAAGCAAAUCCCUUUGAUCUUGAAAGAUAUUAUUGCAUAUUCAUGGAUGUUCUUGCUAUAUUCUUAAAAGAUAUCUUAUAUCUAGCAAGUUUGAUCCGCAAAUCAAAUGAAGAUAUUACGUGACUUUUUUUUUUUGCAAAGAUUAUUAUCUAUUAUCCAAGAUUUUGCAGGUGACAAUAGAAUCUUUCAUAUGUAAAGCUUGAUAAAAAAAAUUUGGAGAUUCUAUACUAUCUUCUGGAGGUUCAAAAAUUGUAUUCUUUGUGCAAAAUUUUUGCUUAUUGAGGAAAUCCCUUAUGCGGCGUACAAAAUGUUGAGUAGUUCUGAAUUUUAAUAAUGAUAAUUUUAUAUAUGCUAUUCAAUUUAUUUAUUUGAAGAAAUGGCAUUAUAUAUUAUGUAGAUAUUAUUAAAGCUUAUUGAAGAAAUAAGAGAGAGAGAGUUACAGCAAGCACGAGAGAGAAAGAGUUACAGCAAGCAUGAGAGAGAAAGAUCUUAAAAACGUUUAAAAUAUUGAAGAAAUAGUAAAAUAUCAAAGGAGCCGACUUGUGACGCAAGGAAAGUUGUUGGAACUAGGAAGGUGGGAGAGAGAUCUUGGAAGCCUCCUCGUUGGGGUUAGAAAAGAAAGAAGAAAAGGAAAGAAAAAAAAAAGAAGAGCAUCUUUGGUUAAAUUCCCUCUUUCUUCAAAUAACGUGGCAAGACUUUUACCGAUCUAAGUUAAAUCGCAAUAUUACUUUGCAUAACACAAAACUUAAUAAUAAGCCGGAACUAGAUAACUUGCACUAUAGUGGUCAGGAUGCGUGCUCCAAGAGGUCGGUUUUGAGAUCAUACACGUAGAAAAUGAUCUUUUCUUCGAGGUUUUUUUUUUUUUUUUUUUUUUUUUUUUGUGUAUUGGAGGAACCGUCUUGGCUGAUAGCUGCCAUGUAAACUCCCAGGUGACGCUAGCCGGGAAACCACCAUCCUGGCGCCACACGUCAAUCACCUAAUAGUCCGCUAGCCUCCCUACAACUUGCAUUGUAAGAGGUUCGAAUUCCUGACUUUCCCUCAAAUGACUAAAGCCUACUCAGCGGAGCUAUCACGGCCGGUUAUUUUUUGAGGUUAUUUUGUCCACUUAUAUUGUCCCACAAAUUUUGAUAUAUGUAUAGCUGAUUUUGGUACAUAUACCUUAAAGAAUUUGGUCAAAUGUGAACAAAUUAUAUAUAUUUGGUAACCUUAUAUUUAAAUGUCAUGUAAUUAACAAAACAAAAAAGAUCUCGAAACCGAAUAAAAAAAUAAUUAAGGAAGUGUCACUUCAAAGAAAGUCAUGCGAGGAAGGAAAAAUGCGCAUUUGCAACGUUUCGCAUUCCGUCCGCAGAAUAUUCCGGAGGCGGCGCUCAGGAGGGCGAAGAGACCAUCGAGUCCUUGACCUUUGACCUCGUCGUAGAAGUCAGCGGGAGGGGAAUUUUGGGUUUUCAGACCUCCCUGCUUUUCCAAAUCACCAGGUCAAAGUUGGGGAAAACAUGUUUUUUGACGGCUGCGGCUGGGUUGCAGUACAAGAUAUUUUCGGUCUGGCGAUGGGACGAAGAUACUUUAUUCCAUCAAAUUCUAUUGGUUGAUUAGAAUAUUGUCGGUGAAAAAAUUAACGGUUGAGAUUUAUUUAAGGACAUCGGGGAAAGUAUCGUAUCGAUUGAGAUCCAUGUCUCCACUACGAAAGCAUCACAUGGUGCCGCUUCGGUCUUACCAAGAAAAGGGGUCUUCGAUCAUGCGAUCGUGAGAGUUUUAAAUGCUAGAAUUUGUUGCCACAUUUAGAUUGAAAACAAGAUAAGAUGUUGAGGGAGGAAGAAACGAAAGAAGAAAAUGUAUGACAAAAUGAAAGCUAUGUUGAAUCGAGUCAUGUUAAUUGAACUUGAGCUUGAGAGAAAAAGAAAAAGUCCAAAUCUAGUUCAUAUGAGCGAAAACCCAUUUUUGGAAAAUAAGGAUCCACCUCGUAAUGAGCAAAUACCCAAUCCCCACCCAAUUACAUCGCUAAUCAGAAUAAUAAGUGAGCAUUUAUCUAAGUAUACGGCCAAUCUCGAAUCUAUUCGAACUUAAUAUCAUAGAAAUCAAGCACGUGUUUUGUGAUUUUAAACUACAUGCAUCGAUCUGUGCUGUUGAAGCCAUCCCUGCUUUAAGAGGUUGAGCUGGAAUGUGAAUGCAAUCAUCGCGAAAUUAACAGGUUUUUCAUGAUUGCUUAGGUCUAAUGAACUCAAAUUACGUCGUCGGCACGUGCCCGAAAGCCAGGGAGCAAAGGACAGAGUUGUUUCACGUCAUGUCGAAUGAGACGCCUUCCCACUUCCGUUCAGCUUCAACUCGCGUGCCAGAAAUCUCGGAAACGCGUCGGCAUUUUUGACCCGUUUGCUAGGUUGUCUCCAACACUACAGGGCAUAGUCAACCCCGUGAUGCAAGCCAAAGUUACCUCGUGUCCCUCGACCGUCGAAUCCUGCGUUUUGUCGGCCGUCCGAUCUGAACCCUAUCGACAUCGACCGUCGGAUCGGAGCGUGACGAUGACGGACCUGCCUUGGUUCCGCCCGCGUGAGGCAUGGGCUCAGCUGUCUUUCUGGAGUGCAAAGAGCAGACAAGCAACGACAGACAAAUGAAAACACCUUUAACGUACUCUGGUUGCCUCCAGCAAAUAUCGGCUUAUUUAAUACGCUGAUCAAAUCGAUAUAAUUGUCUAAUUCCAUACGACACAUUGUUGCAUGAUGGACCUUUUCGUUGUCCCCUUUAGAUACCAUAGGUUGCCUAAUUUUUUUUUUCCUCAUAAACAAGUACUAUUUAACUUCACAAACAAUUUUAUUUGCUUUGAAAGUAAUAAUCUGUUUUCUAGAUUGGCUCUGACUACUUGCUUUGUAUAUUAACGUUAAAUAGUUUCAUCUCAUGCAUGAAAAUAAUAGCAUUUCACUUUCAUUUUGCACGCCGCCCAUGGGGCCAGUGUUUACUUUGUGUCCGCUGUUAAAUUUGAUACAAGGAAGGUUUUGGCUUGCGCCUGCUUGAAUCCAAGCCCCUCUCAACAAAGUUUGGUAGCAGAUCUAAUCAAAUGAUAAGACGACCUCUCGUCUGCUAGAUAAUUGUCUUGUUAAUCCUAAGGUACUAAGCUCACACGAAAUGUAGUGUGAAAAAAAGAAAAACUAGUACCGCUUGUUUCCCCCCUUCUCUCCACCCAUGUGAACCCAAACCCAAUUCAUAUGCACUAACACCGCUUCCAUUUCUUUUUUCCCAAUCGAAACGCAUUUUUGAAACAAUGUUCACGAGAUUCCCGUGGGUGCAAAAAUUGAGUUAAUGAAACGUCGGAUAGAAAAGUAAUGUCCAAUUAAAGCUGGUCCAAAUUUGCAUAAAAAUAUACAAAUAUUAUUUUUCAAAAUCUUUGCCAAUUAUAUGACAUGAAAUGGACCUGAGAAGAGUCAGAGCAUUAUAAUCUUCUAGAUUACUUAGCCUAGAGUUGCCAUCUACAAGAAUAUCAAAUAUACAAGAUAGCGCUGAGAUGGUAGAUUGAAUCAGAUGUAGCGUCUUCUUCAAAGUCCCUCAGGCUAUAGCCAGAGGUAUUGCCGAGGCGUGUCAGCCUCGCAUCGUCUCUAUUGGCCGGUACCACCAUGUAGAAUUGCAAUUGCACAUGCUUUAGGGGCACAAGUGGAGAUACCUCCAUACUAUGCUGGGGCGAACUCAACUGCACGGUGUUCGCCUUAAAAACCUCAUCCAUGUAGCGCCACUUAAAGGAAAAAUGAUCCCACCAGUGCCAUUCAAAGAGCACCAACAAUUUGCUGGAUACAUACUGCCCAACAAUAUGCUAAUAAUCAGUUCAUUCGUGUCCAAUUCUCUUGUGCAGGACCUUCUACGACUUAAGAACCACGUCCUGUACUAUGUUAUUGAGGAUUUGUUUGAAACGCCGAAUGUUCUUGGCCGAUCUCGCCUUGCAUUUGUUCGCCAUCUUCGAGAAAGGAGCUGGCAAAGAUGGACCAAUCUAAAAGGAGUGUAUUUACUCGAUUUAUAUUGUCUGAACUUGAUACCUUUGGAUCAACAAGACAAUCCAAUGGACGAGAACUAAUCUUGUCAUUUGAUCAGUUCUACUUCCGAGUUGCGUCAAGUGGGAAUCGGAUUCAAACAAAGGGAAGCCAGCACCUUACUAGAGAUCAAAUUUGACAGAAAGCGCAGAACCAUUAGAACUCCAAAGAUAGCAAAAUAUGAUGAUGAUGAUCUCAAUUGCAUCCUCACCAGUAUGAUUGCUUUUGAACAGUGUCUUGGCCAAGCACUCGGGUAUGGGAUGCCUCAUUCAUACGGCCGAUGAUGUCCAAUUUUUGCUGACUGCAAAGUCAUCUCAAAUCAUGGCAUGAGCAACAAGGACUUUUCGGUGACAUUUGCAAAGGCGCUUUUUUUAAGGCCUACAGGAGCUAGCCUUGCACUUUGCAACUAUAAAUAAGUCUCUUAAGUAUGGAUGCGCUUAUCUUCGUUGGGCACGCUUUUCAUGACAACACAUGGCCAUUUUUUUCGGGCUUAUCGUGAUACUGUCGGGCAUGAUUCAAACAAUAUACACUGUCUUGCAAUACUAGCCCCCUUUGGUUCAACGUUUAGAAAAGGCUUUCGGUCUCUAUAGUCCAUUGGCCAAAUGCAAGUAGAGUUUAUUUUGUCUUUUGCUCAGUUUUGAGAAAAUACAAUUAUAUUUCCAAAUGACUCUAAGGGCCUUUAGCCAAAAGCAAGUUUGGACAUAUCUUGGCGAGUAGGAUUUUCAAAAUGCAAGUUGACUCUUCAUCAUUGUUCAUCUUCUCCAUGGGUUUGGUCAGAGAAGCCGAAUGGAGGCCGACCACUAGCCAAGGGGUAGCAUAGCAGUGACUAUCACCUGAGGGGUCACAUGACACGGACGAUCGUUGCUUGGGGGUUGCGACCAAGUCACGUGACCUCAGGCAUCACCUGGGUGGUUGCGACCCAAGUGAGCAUUACUUGGGGUCAGGCGACUCAAGCAGCCACCCAGGCAUCGGUAUCGCUUGGGUCGCGGUGACCUAGGUGGCCACCCAGGUGAUGGCCGCCCGGGUCGCACUAUGCCAAGCAUCGCUUAGGUUAGGCAACAUUAGGUAAGGCUGUCCAACAACCAAAUCUAGCUGCCGACGGUUGGCCAUCGAUUGUUUUGGCCCACGGUAGUGGCUAAUAUCUUCUAAAACAAAUAUAUAUUUUAAAAUUUUUUGAAAAAUUAGCAAAAAUUAUUAACAAAAUAUAGUUUUUACCAAAUGGCAUUUAAGCCAAAGCCCAAUACACUAUAAAAAUAGGGUUAAUACCUGAAAAACCCUAAACUAGUAUACAUGUGACAAAUUUACCCCAAACUAUUUUUUUGAUUACUAAAAAUCUUAAACUAGUAUAUCUUUGAUAAAUUUACCCAAAACUGGUACACUUGUGACAAAUUUAUCCGUUAUUAUUUUUCGUUAAAUUUUAUUGUUAAAUUAUUAAGUUAAAUGACACGUAACAGUUGAUUGGUAUACUAAUUUGGAAUUUUAUGCCUUGUUUGUCACAAUUUACAAUUUUUGUGAUUUUUUUAUAUUAAUCCAAUUUAACGAAUGGUAUAUUUGUAACAAAUUUACCAGUUUGAGGUUUUUUGCGGUCGAAUAAAUUCGUUCAAGGUAAAUUUGUCAUAAAUGUAUCAGUUUAUAGUUUUUUUUUUAUAGUCAAUCAGGAUAAAUUUGUCACAGGUAUACUAGUUUGGGAUUUUUCAUGGUAAAAAAAAUAGUUUGGGAUAAAUUUGUCACAGGUAUACCAGUUUGGGGUUUUUAGAGGUAUUAACCCUUAAAAAUAUAAUUAACCAAACACUAUUUGCAUUUUAGAAAACCUUUUUAACACAAAGAUAUUUGCAUUUUCCUAAUGACAUUUCCCCAAAACCGAACGAAACAGGGCCACUUUAGCCCAUGUAGCAAGAAGCAAAGUUGCAUCUUCCAUAUUGAUUUCAUUACAUCUAUUGACUCUACUUUUUAAAAUAUCGAAUCGGAUUUUUGAAAUUAUUGAGUAAGGAACUUUUCCCCUAGUGCAAAAAUUGAGUCGAUGAACAUAAGUUAUGCCCAAUCAAAAUUUGGCCAAAUUUGAGUAGGAAAACAUAUAGUUUUUUUUUUUUUUUGAUGACCCGAGAACCCUCGUAUAACCGGCAACCGGCGAGGUAAACCCGGGGCGAACUGCGCCGCCACCACAGACCUAGUCGUAGGUGAGUUGCGCAGUGAGGAUGCGGGGUUUUGAACCCCUCCCUCUUCGGUGGGUGAGAAAGCUCCAACCAUCGCGGCCACCGCGGGUGGUGGUGAAAACAAAUAGAUAUUAGUUUUCAUAAUUUUACCAAAUUAGAUUAUUCAAAAUAUUUGACCUUGUGAGGUUAAGAGCUUUUCAAUCAUUUUAAUUUAUUAAGUCUAAUCAUGACAUGAAGAUAUCAUGAUUAUUCGUUUGGUCCAAUUUCUGGUUAUGCGCAACCAUUAUUUAACACUCAUUAAAGAAAAGUGGUAAAUAAAUUGCAAGCAUAGAGAGGAAAUACUUACUUUAAAGUAACGAAAGCAUAUCAAUAAUCAUAGAUAUGAUCUUCAAUCAACAAGCAAUUUCACUUAAAUGUUUUUUUGGGUUUUCACUUAUUUAAAUGAAACCUAAUGCAUGUGCAAUGCAGUGCAAUGACGUACAAAAAAUGCCUAACUAAAAUGACAUGCAGCAUGCAGCCUAUCAAGCAAAUUAUAUGUCAUGUGACAUUAAUUAAAAGACUUAAUUUGAUGGAAAAUAAAAAUUUAUGGAACUAUUCUAACAUGUCACAUGCUUUAAUUUAAAUUAUUCCCAGAUAUGCAAUUUACUAUGCAAAUUGAUCCUGCAUAGCACUCGCUAUCUUUUAUUUUUUUAUUAAAAUUCGAAAUUAAAAAUUCCUAAUAUUUAAGCAUGCAAUCUAUUCUAAGAAAGGGAGUCUAAUCUAUCCUAAAGUAAUUUUAUUUUGGAUUUUUAUUAAAAAAAUUCGGAAUAAAUAAAAUGCCUUAUACAAUGCAAUCUAGUCCAAAAUUAGCAUUAUUAUCAACGAGAAUCAAAUCGAAUUUCAAUAUUUUUUUGGAUUUUCUUUUAUGGAAGCAAAAUCAAUUUAAAUCAAACAAAUGUCAUAUCCACAUCAAAUACGACACCAAAUCACAUGAGAUAUUAUGCAUAUCCAUUUAACUUUUGAAAUUAAUGGACAAAUUAUAUGUUGGGCAUGAGAUCGAAUUGGACAAUUUUUUUACGAAAUCGCGAAUAAUAUUUCUAGCAUAAGAUUAGAUUGACCAUUUUUUAUGCAAUCAAAAAUCAUAUCUCAGGCGUGAGAUCGGAUUGACAAUUAUGACAGGUUGUGAAAUUAGGAAAUAAUCCAUAAUUUAAAAUGAUACUCAAUAUUAUAAAUAGCAUAAUACAUCUGAAAAUUCAAUCAUAUACAUCAACAAUAUUUUAAAUAAGGAAACAAAAUAUUCAAAAAUCAAAUUAGACAAGAUUUUGCCCAAUCCAAAUAUUGGCUUCCAAAUUCAGAUGGUGAAUCACGAUGGUCUGAUUCGUGAACUGAUCUCGUUAAUGGGACAAAGACGUGGCUGCUCCCGCCCUGAUGAACAGCGAGGAAGCUUCGGGACCGCUUAAGAAACCUGCAAAACGUAAGGGGAAGGUAGCAACACGGAUUCGACCAGGCUAGGACCUCGCGAUAGCGUGGAGCGCGAUUAGGCGGCGUCAAGCUCAGCUUCAGGGACCGCCGGUAGGAGCAGCGCAGCAACAGGUUCGGCCAAGGGACUACACAGAUCAGCAGAUUGUUGUCGCGGGUCACGAGCGGCAGCGGAACAAGGCAGCNNNNNNNNNNNNNNNNNNNNNNNNNNNNNNNNNNNNNNNNNNNNNNNNNNNNNNNNNNNNNNNNNNNNNNNNNNNNNNNNNNNNNNNNNNNNNNNNNNNNUAAAAAUAAAAAGAUUAGAAGGGAAAAUUUUGAAAAAGAAAAUUUUUGAAUUCAAAAAUAAUUUCAAACAGUCGGGAUUUUGGGAGCCAUUUUCUUUGUUGGAGAAAGUUGAGCAAAAAAUCUCCCACCGAGCAAAAAUCUCCUACCGGCGAAACAAACUCGAAUUUUUCGCUUUAUAAAUAAAGGGGUUCUUCUUCACCUUUCGGGAGAGGAAUUCGAAAAAAAUUGAGAGCAAAAAUUCUGUCGUUUAGGGGGGGCUUCUCUUCAUCUUUCGUUGAAGGAAAAAGAAAACACAAAAAAGUAAAAGUCAAGAGAAGCUUUCNNNNNNNNNNNNNNNNNNNNNNNNNNNNNNNNNNNNNNNNNNNNNNNNNNNNNNNNNNNNNNNNNNNNNNNNNNNNNNNNNNNNNNNNNNNNNNNNNNNNNNNNNNNNNNNNNNNNNNNNNNNNNNNNNNNNNNNNNNNNNNNNNNNNNNNNNNNNNNNGCUUCGAUUUUUACUCCUCUCCACUGCGACGACCGGCUCCGUUUAUGCUUCAAUUCGGAGACGCUUGAGUUCAACACCGGAACCCGAAGGAAAGCCCUCUGAUCCGGCGGCCCGUGUUGCACUGACGCCGCCGAACGAGCCGACGCCCCUGCAGCACCUCCGUUGCAGCCCGACGACCGCGCCUCUACAACCCGCAGCCUCACCACGCCGGACUCGCACCCGAAGCCCCGCCAACGACCCAGCGACGCCGGAGCCCCUCUGCAGAUCCCACGACGGCCCCGCUUCCGAUCAGCGCCUGCACCUGAAGUUUCCCCGCGCUGCUCUGCCCCGUGAUGCUGCAGCACCUCUGUUCGUGACCACCCCCUGCGACGCCAGCAGAUCCAGUGCCCACCGUCGCGCCACCUCUGUUCCGCCGACGAAACCGCUCCUGUACUGAUUCGAGCCACCGCCGAUUCACCUCUUCACCGCUCGCCCACCGCCGGUUCACCUUCGUCGGAGCCCCCCUGCUGGUCCGACGACGUGCUGCUCCCCAGUGACCCAGAGACUCACGAGCACGUGACUAGAAGAAAAAUGAAAAAACAAAAACAAAAACAAAAGAAAAAGAGAAAAGCAAAUUAGGUAGUUUGCUUUUCUUUAUUUUAUUUAUUUUGUUAUUAUUGUUCAAUUUAGAAUAUUGAGAUGUGCUUUUCUUUUAUAAAUCUCGUAGGUAUUAACUGCAAGUACUUUAUCUCAAAUUAUGGUAAUUAUUAAUUUGACCCGUAAGACGUCGGGUCAUUUUUUUAAUUACUUUAAUUUUUAGGAAUUUUGAUAGUAUUUCAAUUGUUAAAUUGUUAUAGAGUUAAAAUAAUUGUUAAUUUAAUCCGUGAGACAACGGAUUAUUUUUUCGGUUAUUUUAAUUCUUGUCUUAAUUCUUUUAAAAUAAUGACUUGUUUGGAAAAAUUAAAAAAAAAAAUAAAAAUAAAAAAGUACAUAAAAAUCUAAAUAUUGCAUUAGAACAUUUAGGGUUAGUAAAUUAGAAUUUGCAUUUAUAGGAUUAUAAUUUUUAGAUUAUACUUUUAGAUGGGUGGUUUUUGUUAGGGCUAAUUUUAAAUAAUGUUGGCAUGUCUUGAUUUUUUAUAUAGCUUUCAGGAUAAAGUAUAGUUUAAGUUAAAUUGAUUCCUAAAAUAAAUUAGAAUAUCAUUCACUUUAGUUAGUCUAAUUAGUUUUAGAUUAAGUCAAUUUUCAUUUAAUAAAACAAAAAGAGGAACAAAAAAAUGUUAUGCAUGCCAUGUGAGUUAUAGUUUAAUUGUUUUUUUUAAUAAAAGGAAAAUGCUAAAAGAAAAUCAUUGCACCAUUAAGUUACUUUCUUUUCAAUAAAAAACAUUAUGUCAUUAAAAAAUAAAAAAAAUAAAAAUCAUUUCAUUGGUUAGUUAAUAGGUUAAUUCAUAAUUAAUCUCACAUCAUCAUUAUUUAGCAUAGGUUGCAUAUAUGCAUUAAAAAAUGAAUCAUCAUAAAAAAAAAUCAUAAAAGAGCAUGCAUGUAGAAAUAUCAUGUCAUUCAUCCCAUAUCAUGUAGCAUACGCAUAUUUAGGAUUAUAAAAAUUAGAUUGCAUACAUAUAGUAAUAAGUUUAAGUCAUACCAUAUGAAUUGCAUCUCACAUAUCAUUAAAGUAAAAUCCAUGCAUAUUAAAUUUAGAUUAAGAUUGCAUAUAAUUAUUUUUUUUAAAAUAAAAAAGAAAAAAUUAGGUGUCAUGUCAUUUAGAAAUCAUGUUUAGGACAUGCAUUUUUAUUAGCAUUUUUUAUUUGAAUGUUAUUUUAUUGAUUGCGCACCCGCAUGACCACCAUUUGCAUGUUAGUAAUCUAGGUUUAAAUUAAUCAACAUUGCCUGCAAAAUAUUUUUGAAAUUAAAAUAAAAGGUACCGAAAGGGCGUUAGAUUAAUCUAGCGUAAUCAUGUCCCCGGACCUAUUGAAUCUCUGGUUCGCAAUAGUAAAGUAUUCUCCCAUACUUUACUUGGGUUUCUAACCAGCCCUAAUUGGUUAGUGGCGGCUCCAAAUUGAAAUUGCAUGUUUAAAUGAAUUAAUUUCUAUCAAGUCGCGAUUGGUAGGACUUGGGAGGGUCCGCGCCAAGUCUUCGGACUUAAUAAUCCAUUAACCUAAACUUCUAGGAUUGCCCCUGAAAAUUUAGGUCGCGACAUUGGUGCAGGCGACAAGCGGCGGCAGAGGCAGCAAACAGUGGCAGGAUUCAGGACGGCUACUCGCGUUGAGCAGCAAGGACGUCGCAGGGCGCGACCAGAAGAUGGACUAGGCUUAUCAGACAUUGCAGUUGCAGCAGCGGUUCGCGUGUGAGGAUGCGCAGGCAACGACUCUGCGACAGUGAGAAGCAGCGGCGAGUCGUCAUCCAGAGGCAGGAGGUGCGGUGCAGCAGCUUACGUUGGACUCAGGUAGAUGCUUGUGCUCACCAAUCUAGCAAGUGACAAGCCUAAGCUUGCUUAUGGCCAGUGAUUGGCCAAGAAAGAAGAAAAGAAAAACAAAGGAGAGAAAAAAGAAAAAAAAGAAAAGAAAAAGAAAAAAGAAAAAAGAAUUUGAAUUUUCUAUUAAAAAAGAAAAGAAAGAAAGAGAAAGAAGUGAAAGUUUGUAGGGGUGCAAGAUAAAAGAGAGCAAGUGGGGAAAAUGUUUUCCAUUUUUCAAAAAUAAAAAAUAUUUUCCCUUUUUUAGAAGACUUUUUUUUUUCUUAUUGGAAUAUGUUUUCUUUCGCCAAACAAUUCAUUUUCCUUGAAACGAAUGCCGGAAAAUCUGGAAAACGUAAACGAACUAAGCCUAAAUUUUAUUUUAUUUACCUUACUUUCUACUCAUGACCAUGGACAUGGGAGAUUUUCCUUGACAGCGCAAUCUUUCUUGUUUUAAAAUAAGAAAUAUAUUACUCAAUAUGGCCCUCGUUGACUAAUCAUCUCCUUGCAAUCUAUAUAUAAUCUAUAUAUAUUUUCCUUGCUUGCAGAUCUUCCUUUUUUGUCCUUUAUUUCUUUCCCGCAACUAAGGGAUUCGGCCUCCCUCAUAUAUCAUUCGCAUGUCAAUUCUAUGCGAAAAGAUAUUUUGAUGAAAUCCUUGUGCACAUAAUUUCAGCCAUCAUAGAAAUAAUGGGCUCGGUCAAUUUCUCUCUCAUCAUGGGCUUAAUCCAACUUGCAAAAUUAAAACCCAGAACCAUCAAUCCAAACUUAUCCGCUGGUUCAACACAAAUGCAAUAGUCAAAAAUAUAAACUAAACAAUAAAUGCUCCUAAAACUAUGUCCUAUGCAAUUUAAUUAUAGUAUUUUUGUUUAGGCGUUAAAAAAUAAUUCCUUAGUUUCUAUGCAAUAAUGGAUGACUGGGUUGCCACAAUGACUUUUACUACUAAGUUGAGUAACUGAGAAGAGAUUGUCACUAAAAUUAGGGACAUGAUAGUUAGGAGAUAACAACAAAGAUCGAGGAUUAUUACGUAAAAAGGUUUUGUCAACUUAAUAGGCAAUAAAUGACCAUUACCAACUAAGACUUUUGUCAAAUCAUAAAAGGGUCUAGAAUUUAGAAUUUUAAGAUACCACAUUGGAUCAUAGGUUUCACUAAUUGCGAAAGUUGAGAAGGAGUUUGACAAAUUGGUGUGUCCUACCCCAUUAUAGAUCAAACAAGUAAGAUGAGACCUAGAUCCAAGAUUGCCUCCCUGUGUGAAUGGGGGAUGAUAGGGCUUCGAACCACCACCAGAUCGACUAGAGAAGAUGGAGGAAUGAUCAGCAAAGGGGGUCGAUACUGAUUGUGAACUAAACCGAUCAUUGGAAAAUCACCAAUUUAGUUGACCACUAAAAAACCAUUUACCUUUCCCCGUCCGUAUAUUUGGCCUCUAGAAUUAUGUCCACCUUGAGAUCCUCAAAACAAUGGGUUAAGUGAAGUGGCAUGACUAAUCAAAGCAUGAUAAAUAUCAAAUAAAGAUGAUGCAUUCAAUUUCCAGGAAAAUCAUUCCUCUUAGAUGAGAACAAAGAAGAAUUAUAGAGCCAUUUGUGACCAUGGUGAAAAAAGGACCAUGCUCACACGGAAGCCCGUUGAGGCUUGAAUCACCAUGUCCUUAUUAGAGACGGAGCAAUUGAUUACAUUGAGAGAGUUCACAAUUGACUUAAGAUGUCAAAAAUAAUCAGACAUGGACUAAUCGAGUUUCUUGACAUUGUUCUGAAAGUCAAGCUUUUGUCCAAUUUCCCUAGCCGCCCAGCAUUCAAUAAAGUGCUGUCCUAGAGCAGCCCGAAUCUCCAAAAUGUCCAAAGGUCAUGAACUUUAUAGAAAAUCUCGACUAUGAGAGUUGAAUUGAUCAAACUACAAAUGCAUUAAUUUGUUAUGACUCAAGUGGAAUAGGAGGUAUUAACCACCAUAGUCCCAUUAUGGUCAUUGAUAAGCUUCAACUGACAUGGAAAGAGCAUCCACAUAGACCAUCAAAUCAUUGCAAAUUAGAAUAGCUUCAAAUUGAGAUUUCCAUAAAUUGAGAUUUCCACAAAAGGUAAUUUUCAGCAUCGAGUUUGAUGGAGUCAAGACUUGUGAUGGUGAGAAGAAUGAGAGAUGGUGAGGAUGAUUGCAUGGUUGUAAUUUGAGCGGCAACAGCAAAGAUCAGAGCAACGGAGAAGAGGAAGAAGAGGUGAAAAGGGAUGCAAUGUUAUUAAGAGGUAAUGGGAAAAUUGGGAUUAACAAAAAAAGAAGAUGAUAGGUAAAGAGAUAUUAGAGAAAAAUAACAAUUUGGAGAUGUAUUGGAUAUGUUGAGAUAGUAAUUGAAGCAAAGGAAGUUUGAUUAGGGGUAAAUAAGUUGAAUAUUUUGAUAUGUUUUCCCAAACAGAUACCCAUGUUGACAGUUAGAAUCAGAGAAAAAAUAACAUAAAUGAACAAAAAAAAGAAGAUGAUAGGUAAAGAGAUAUCAGAGAAAAAGAACAAUUUGGAGAUGUUUUGGAUAUGUUGAGAUAGUAAUUGAAGCAAAGGAAGUUUGAUUUUGGGUAAAGAUGUUGAAAAUUUUGAUAUGUUUUUCUAAAUAGACACCAUGUUGAUAUUUAGAAUCAGAGAGAAAAUAACGGUAAAGUGUUUGUGGUGGCUCAUCUCCAAUUAAGAUUAUAUCAUAUGUAUUUAUAAGAGUGACUAAUUACAAUUUGGACACAAAUAUAGACAUAAUUAUAAAAAUAUAUAUAAAUUACACAUUAAUAGUUAAUGCAACUAAAGUGCUCUUUGAUUAGUUUACGUAACAAUGUGGGGAUAGGUUGUACCUAUUGUUGUGUUUCGUGUCGUGAUUUUAGCCAAACUAGAAGGAUCUGACCCAAAUGUAAUCCCCACGAUGCAACCGAUCAUCAAAUGAAAAGAUCCAUAAGAAUUACAAAAAUGAAAAACAAGUGCAACCCUGAGACAAACAAUACCAUGAACUUUUGUGUUAUGCAUUGCAAUAAAUUUCAUCAUCAAUUCUUAAACAAAAUAGAAGACGAAAACCCAUUUGCAACUCCAUAAUUAGAUGGAGCUUUCGGAUUCACAUGAAGGCAAAGAGGAUACACCAGGAAGCUUCCCACAAUCAUAUCCUAUAAAACCAUUUACUACUCUACCCAAGAGGAGCCCAUAGAAUAUGACAUCUCUUAGGAACCUCAUGAAUCGACUAGACCCAUCUUCUUGCACCCAUCCCGACAAGUACGAUUGUUAUCAGUGUUGCCGCCCUCAAUCUCCUCUCCUUUGUGUACCUCUCAAUAGCAAAUCCGAUGUCUCCGGUCACCAGUUUGCCGUGCUUGGCAAUUGAGUCCCUGAGGUGCCUACCCAAUGCCACCGCAUCCUCGAGAGCCAAACGUCCCCCCUAGCCCAAGUCAGGAGUCAUCGGGUGCGUUGUCUCCAGCCACCAUGACGUUUGAUCGGACUAGGUUUCCAAACAAAAUGUCCCAAGGAUAUCGGAACAUCAAUGGCGUCCAUGUCAAACUCAAAAGAUCGGAGUGCUUGAUGACAUCGAGGUACACGGUGGGAAGUCCUUUGCCAAAUUUUCCAUCACCUCCCUUUGUAUCAUUUCUGGAUCUGCUCCUUUUUCCAUACCUUUAUGAAUGGAAACGUUAGGGAUCAAGGAGGAUUAGUAAGCUACUAUUGAAGGAGCCAUCGUAAUCUCAGCGGAAGAUAAAAUGGAAUAUAUAUGGUACCUUUAGGAGGACACGCCGCUAUGAAGAACCAGUACACUUCCUUAUCAUUGAGAGCAAUAAAAACCUGCCCUCUUGCCCACAUUCACAAAAUGUUGAAACACAUGGCCAUGGUCAAAACCAUGACCCUUUGGGAAAACGGACAACCCCGUACUGCCGACCGGCCUGAAUAGAUCGGCGGGCAAAGUCCAAGCCAAUGGGCCAAGAUAGAGUGCACGCCAUCAUAUCCUAUAACAACCUACAUGUAUAGUACUUACAGUGUGGAUAAGUUAAAGUCAUUAAGUUAACCUCAUUAUAUUUGAAUUCAAAAGAAGGUUCUCUAGAAAUUGUAGGGACAAGCUCAUGCUUGGCAGCGUCAAUUCCAGUGCAGGAAGCCAAAUAGAAGUACGAAUUGGGAGUUGCCGCAAGAGCAGGCUGUAUCCGGUUCACGGGCUCUGCGACCGAACGGAACUCCGCGACCGAACGGAACUCCAAAGUUCCAACACAUGUCGAUGGAAGAAGGGGAGUGAAAACCAUGUGAUUUCGGGGGGAAACGCACACGAUAUAAUAUAUGCUCAUAUCAAGCCCCUUCAUAAACCGGUAAGCCGCCCAAUCGGCACCAAGAACGACCACCCUUGGCUUUUCUCCAGGCUUAGUCGGUUCAAGACCUGGAUAUCUGUCCCUCUCAUAUUCAGAAUCGGACUCUGCCAAUGCCCUCUCGGCGACGAGAAAUUGAUCAAGUGGGGUUGUCCUAAUUCCUCUGCUCCAGUUACUAGCAUAAUCUAACUUACUCGAUGGUAAGCGGUCGAAAAAAUCACUUCUCGUGGGGACACUUUUGAAAGAAGAAAAAGAAAAUGAAUUCGCAAGUACUCCUCUAAAAAUUUAUUCUUUUCCAUCUGCAAGGCUCCCAACAGCACCUCCUGUUCUUCUCAGGUUGCCCCGAACAAUUCUUGCAAAUGCCAUAGAGUAAAACACUAAUAAUUCAAAUGCAAGUCAAUCGCCUGGAUCUUUAGGCCUAUUGAUGAAAUUGCACCUGAGAGAAAAGAGAGGCUUGGGCUUAAUGCUAUAAGAAAAGCAGAAACAUAUAGAGAAAGAUUAUGCAAUCACUCCAUGAUAUCAGGAGGAGGUAAAGACAACAUGUAGAACAAUUGGAGUUUGGUCCAAGCAAAAUGAAGACAACUAAUUGGUGAGUGACAACUAUUUCUUCAAUGACUUCUAAGACAAAAACAAGAAGCCAACUUAGCUUGAGGCUUGGGCUUAACCGCUGUCUUCGCCCGCUUCUCCUCUGGCCUCCAUUGCCUUUGCCCGCCUCCUCCCUGUCCAACUCCUCCCGUGCCCCCUGCGCCGGUGGAGGUCGAGGCCCCCCGCGGCGUGGACAACCCGCGCCGCCACCUCGCCCGCUGCCUUUGUCAACCACUUGGAUUCAAGACCUAAGGUUUGAGCCCGAAUGAUGGAGGACCGAGACGGCGGUGAGGCGGUGGUGGAAGGCAAUUCACGGGGGUUAAAGUUGACGGCGAGUCUGAGUUGAUGUACGUUUGUUGUCAUCACGGCGGAGCAAAAGGAAGAAGGUGAAGAGAACAAAAAAAAAAAAAAAUCAAAGGGAGAAAGGAUGCAGGGGCUUCCGGUGGGUGGGUCCGAAUGUGACUGUGCCACUUUGGCGGUCAUAAUUCAAUUGAAUCCUUGAAACUAUCUCAUACCAGGGUAUAAACUUUACUUCUCACAUACAUCAUAUACAUGUAAUUUUACCUUUAGUGAUGGGGGCAAUAUAUCAUUAAAAUCAUAUAUCAUGCUGAUUAUACUAUUUUAUUCAUUAAUAAAAGUUAAACUUUAUAUAUAUUAUCAAUGAAUCACGUUUUAAUAAUAUUUAUGUAAUAACAUACAUGUAAACCAACACAUGUAUUUCCAAAAUCACAUAAAAAUACAAGAAAAAUACGCAAAAAUAUUCUAAAAAUACACGUAUUUAAGGUUUCGUAUGUAUUUUCACAUCUAUAAAAUCAUCAAACGUGUAAAUAAAUACACCACAACAUAGAGAAUAAUCAUACGAACCAGUAGCCGCAAACCACGCGCCCGCACGCGCUGCUUGAGUGCACGACGCGUGGAGCACACGCGCGACCGUAAAGACCCCUCAGAUCCGAUCCGACCAAUUCCUGGCUCGACCGUCCAGUCCAACCGGUUGACCAGUCCGGUCCAUGGUUGACUGGUUCGGGCAAGUCAAUGGGUCGGGUCAGCCCCAAGGUCGCUAACGUCAUUGUGACAAUAGCCCUUGCGCGUGCAACAGAUGCAUGAGCGGCGCCUGCGCGUGGGUCAGAUAUUGAAUGGUUUUGGAUAGGAUUGACAUGGCAUUACUUGUGCACUUGAAUGGCCUGAAUCAACGAAGAAAUGGUAAGACAAUGGAGAAAAUCAAAGGAAGAGGGGAGAGGGAGCAAGAGAUAGAUCGAUCUUGGAUCGUCGGGUUAGAAAAGAAAGAAAGAAAGAAAAAGCCCUCUGAUGCUAAAUUUCCCCUUUCUUCAAAAUGUUAAAUUAAAUCUCGAUAUCACAUGAAAUUUUAUGAAGAGAGAUUAUGAAUUUGAACUCGAUGGUUUGCCUCAUGGCAAUUGAAGGAGUUUUACUCGUGACUUGGUAACAGGCGCUCCAAAGGGCCAAGUAUCAAGACCAAGCAUGCAUGGAAAGUCAUCUUUUUUUCUCAAGGUUAUUUUAUUCGCUUAUAUUGUCAAAGAAAAUACGAUGUAUGACUUGCUGAAUUUUAGCGCACCGUUCAUGAAAAAAAGAGAGUGGGAAAUCUCUUUUUGUUUGAAACUUAAAGAAGAAGGUCAAGGGUGAACAAGUUAUAUUUGGUUAGCCUUUAUUUAAAUUUCACGUAAUUAAAAAAAAUAAAAUAGAAGAUCUUGAAACCAAAUGAAAUAUAUGUAGGACGCAAACUGUGUAACCCCAAGAUCUCCAUAACUAGAAUAAGAACAUGCAUAAUUGAGUAGAAAGAUUAACGCACCUGUUUUGGGAUCCAUUGUUCUUGAAGCGGAAGCGGAAACACAAUGUUCCACGUGCAAGUCCUUCUCCUCUAUUGCCCUCCGUAUCACUAGCUCAAUGAGGCAGCCCCCCUCACGUGUAGCGUUAGGUAAACGCCCCUUAGGUGAGGAUACAUGUGAGAAUUAGGGUUAGAGGAUAGACUUGAGCACUAUUUAUAGAGUUUCUAGCCAGGCUCCCUCAUUACGAGCCAAACUCAACUCGGCCCACACUAGCCAGCCCCAUAUUAGACUAAUUAAUGAACUUUCUAUCUCACCUUAGACUAGCCUUGUUUUACGGUAGCCAUAAAAACAGUAAAUUACAAUUUCAAUUAAUGUAGUCAACAUUAGGAAAACUCUUACAUUCUCCCAUUUGGACUAUAUUAAUUGAAAUCGUACCUUAUGUGCGCACAUUGGUCCAGAGAUAAUUCUUAAUAGUCAAUCAUAUCCCAUAAAGUCUUAAACACCGAAUCAUGGCGGUAACUGCAUGUAUACACACAAAGCUUUCCAUGGUCACAAGUGCUCUCAACUUUAUUGAUAUGGAUUCAAUAUGGUAGUGUGGCAAAUGGAUAACUCUCUCAUAGAGAGAUCCCAUUUGUCAGUCACCAUUCUCUUACCUUAAGCGAUACAAAAAACUUGUGCCACUAAAGAAUGCUUUAUGGUUCCAAUGAACCUACAUAUGUCUUGUCCUUACGGUUAACAUUUCUUUAUGUAUCACAAGACAUAUGCACAAAGNNNNNNNNNNNNNNNNNNNNNNNNNNNNNNNNNNNNNNNNNNNNNNNNNNNNNNNNNNNNNNNNNNNNNNNNNNNNNNNNNNNNNNNNNNNNNNNNNNNNNNNNNNNNNNNNNNNNNNNNNNNNNNNNNNNNNNNNNNNNNNNNNNNNNNNNNNNNNNNNNNNNNNNNNNNNNNNNNNNNNNNNNNNNNNNNNNNNNNNNNNNNNNNNNNNNNNNNNNNNNNNNNNNNNNNNNNNNNNNNNNNNNNNNNNNNNNNNNNNNNNNNNNNNNNNNAUGACAUGACGAUAAAAAAACAAACAGGCGUAGCUUUAGUAGUGGAUCUGCAUCAUAUCAUCUGUAAAAAUAUAAUCUACUGCAACGUCACCAUUCUGCACCGAUCCUUUAUAGUAAAAAACUUGACCUCCAUGUGUUUGGACCCUUGAGACUUCAACACUGUAGAGUUAUUGUCACAAUAAAGCUGUAUGGGCCUAUCCACAAAAUCAAAAACCGAUAACUCUCUAAUGAGGUUCCGGAGCCAAAUAACUUGAGUAGCAGCUGAAAAACAUGCUACAAACUCUGCUUGCAUGGUAGAAGAAGAUAUGGAUUUCUGUUUUUCGCUCUUCCAUGAUAUUGCACCUCCUGCCAUCAUAAAUAUGUAUCAUGUCGUUGACUUCUUAUCAUCUUGAUAACCAACAAAAUCUGUAUCUGAAUACCCUACUAGUUGCAAAUCUGGAACAUGUCUAUAAAUCAGCAUAUAAUCUUUUGUUCUCUUUAAGUACCUUAAAACCUUCUUGGUAGCAACCCAGUGAUCGUAUUUUGGAUUAGAUUGAUAUCUGCCUAGAAGUCCAGUUACAAAAGCAAUAUCUGGUCUAGUCCAAACUUGAGCAUACAUGAUACUUCCAAGCACACUAGCAUAAGGCACGUCCUUCAUUUGAGCUUUCUCAAAAUCUGAAUUAGGGCAUUGUGAAAGACUCAAUUUAUCACCCUUAACAACAUGAGCAAUUCUUGGUUUGCAAUCCUACAUAUUGAAUCUUUCUAAAACGCGAUCUAUAUACGCCUUCUAAGACAAACCCAAUGAACGGCGUGAGUGAUGAUAUUGCUAGUAUGAGUACCUAGAGGGGGGUGAAUAGGUGCCUAAACAAUUUAUCGAUAUACGGAAGCGAUUCUUAACAUAUGAUAGAAAGUAAAUUCUCUCUUAAUUAACAAAAUGAAAUACGAUCGAGGUAGAGAGAGUGAGGAAGAUAAAAUUGAACACAGGAUUUAUAGUGGUUCGGCUUAUUCCAAGCCUACGUCCACUCUUCCGCACUGACAGCCCACCGGCUGGAUUUCACUAUGAUCAAAAGAGAAGUUACAGCACAGCUUUGCCUUGAUUCCACAGUGUGGAUGUUCUACCACACCUCAUCAAGGUCGCUCACAAAUAUAGACUCUCUUUUAUAUACAAGUAUUCGCUCAAAGGAUUUAUCUAAACAAAUAGGAGCUUCAGAUCGCCCGUUGGGAACAUAGGUGAUCUUUCCGCUAGCCNNNNNNNNNNNNNNNNNNNNNNNNNNNNNNNNNNNNNNNNNNNNNNNNNNNNNNNNNNNNNNNNNNNNNNNNNNNNNNNNNNNNNNNNNNNNNNNNNNNNNNNNNNNNNNNNNNNNNNNNNNNNNNNNNNNNNNNNNNNNNNNNNNNNNNNNNNNNNNNNNNNNNNNNNNNNNNNNNNNNNNNNNNNNNNNNNNNNNNNNNNNNNNNGACAAUCAUCGAAUCUCAAUCAUUGAAUCAAACUUGAUCAAUCAAAGGAUUCUGAUACGUCUUCUCUAGCCACGAGAUCUUCUCCAGAUGAUAAGGUUAAAUCCUGAACAAAACAUCCAGUUCUGGAUAACCUUUCUUCAACGGAUUAGAGACUGUCAAUGAGGAUAGACUUUGAGUCUUGAGUCUGGCUGUCCGGAAGUCUUCAGACUUUAACUAACAGAGUCUGCAGACCUUCAGACUAGACCGAUGGAAACGUUUUGUCAACUUCAAAACACUUUCACUAAGAUUUCUCCAACAAUCUCCCCAUUUUUGAUGGUGACAAAACCUUCCUGCAGAUUUGGAUAAUUUUGACCUGCAAAACAUUUCUCAAACACAUAUGCAUAUCUUAUAGAGAUGAAUGGCUAAAAGAUUAACACUAGAAUCUGUAACUACAUAAAAUAGGUUAGUCUAGUAUAUAAUAAAACCAUCCAUAAGAUAUCAAUACUUGUUAAUAGAAGCAGUCAAGUCCAAGUCUAGUUCAGUUCUUAUCCAGACACAAAACAAAGUCAAAGUCUGUAAAAAAUAGUUAAACAACAACACAAUCCAACAAACAGUUAAAAAAUGAUUGAAAGUUUUUGAUCAAAUCAUGCAUCUCUCCCCCUUUUUGUCAUCAUUAAAAAGGAUGAGAUGAAGUCAAGAUUGCUUGGGAACGCGUACAAGCUGGAAAUCUUCCAUAGACUAAACGAUGCCUUCCAGCCUUUUAAAGUCUUCCUUCAGCUGUACAACCUCCUCACUCUUGGCAUUGGCCUGAUUCUGAAUAGAGAGGGCUUGCAUCUUAUCAUUCAAUGAACAGGAAGAAGCUUGACUUUCAUUCUUCAAACUUUGAACUUCGCAUCCCAAGGCAUAAAUUUGACCUCGCAUUUCCAAGAGAAUAUCCAAGAUUCUGCGAAAAUCUGCUCCAUUAUCAGUCUGAGUACUUGCUUCGGCUCGAUCUGAUGGAGUAAAAGCAGACGAUGGUGGAUCAGCAUAAUCUCGCAGGUUUGGCGAUGAAGCUUCAUGACCUUCCUCUGGAAAUUGAGAUGCAUAAACAUCUUCUGGGUCUGCAGGCGAGCGAUUGACUCCUUCACUUGCAUCAGGAAAUGAAGACGUCACUCCUUCUCCUGAUNNNNNNNNNNNNNNNNNNNNNNNNNNNNNNNNNNNNNNNNNNNNNNNNNNNNNNNNNNNNNNNNNNNNNNNNNNNNNNNNNNNNNNNNNNNNNNNNNNNNUACAUGUGGAGAAGAGAUUUCCUAGUCUUCCUGGUAUCAAUGCACUUUCUUCUUUAGGUCUUUCUUCCUCUGCUUCUUGCUCUGCUUCUCUUUCUUCUUCUUCCUUCUCCUCUGCUUCUCUUUCUUCUUCUUCCUUCUCCUCUGCUUCUUUUGUCUUUUGUUCCGAUUCUUUCUGUGGAACAGGACGACUUAAGUUCUUCAAAGCCAUUGCAGAGAUGGUGAUGUCUUCGUCAUCAUCUUCAUCCUCAACGAGGAGAGCUCUUCUUCUCUUUGAUGGAGCAGCCAUGGGCUCCUUCCCUUUUCUCUUAGCAGCAGAAGAGAGUUGAUGAGAUUUGGCAGGAGUCUUCUCCUUGAAUUUCUCCAAUUCCUUGCUCAGUUCCUUCAGACGCAUUUUGGUCACCAUUUUCAGUCCUACCACCAUAUGAUCGCAUGAUCGAACACAAAAGAUUUGCAGAGGCUGAAUAUUCAGAUGUCUGAAUAACUUCGUAACAAGGCUUGGGUAAGGGAGUUGACCUCUGUCCUUCAUCACUGCUCUAUACAUGUGAAACAUAACAGUAUGAGGGAGAGAAAACUUCUUUCCACAGAGGAUGGCAUACAUCAACUUUGCCUCAGAGCUUGAAACAUCAGUUUUGGAAGUUGAUUUCGGCCGAAGGCAAUUAAUCACAAUCUUGUGAAGCAAGAUGUUGAAUGCAUUCAUCCUUGAGUAGGUGAUCUUCUCAUCUGUUCUCCUGUCCUUCACCAGUUCAAGUGUGGCCCGAGCAAUGGAAACUUUGAUUGGUUGAUAUCUGUCUCUCUCAACUUCUAACACAUCUGCCAGCAUAUUCAUAUCCACAACAUAGUCUUGUUCUUUAACGCUAAAGGAGAAUCUAUUCGCAUCUAAAAAGCUAAGAUUUGAAUAGAAAUAUGCAGUCAAUUCAGCAUAAGCCUCAGUUGAGUCAGAGCAGAACUUUUCAAGUUGAAGAUAAUUGAACUUUUCCCUCAAGUUCACUUUCACAGCAUCCAGAAAAUCAAAGUCCACACUCCUAGGGUUUAUUACCCCACGCUUCAGCAAUUUCAAGUACAGAUCCUUUUGUUCCUUUGAUCUGAACAAAUCUCCCAUUUUUCCUUGAAUUUCAGCCGCAAUACCCAUUUUCGGUUGAAAUAGACUGAACAGAUUGUCAUCGUCAUUCCCAUCUACAGGAUUCGGCCCCCAGUCACGAGGAUCACUUGGGAUAUUCGCAAGGGUUUCCUCAGCCACUCCUUUACGAGCGAUUCCCAAACUUUCCAUUUUUCGCAGAAAGAUAUAUUCGUUCUUAUAUCCUUUGUCUUUAAGAAACUCAUCAACAUAGUUCAAAGGAGUACGAAUUCCUUUUAAGGCACGAUAUAGCUUGUAAAUAAAAGCGGGCUUUUGAACUCUUACGGGGUCUGCAUCCUCGAUGAUUUCUUCCUGAUGCUGAUGAACAACGCCUUGAGGACUAGAUGGAGGAGAAUGACGCUGCUGAGAAUGUUGUGGGCUCGGUUGCUGAUCUGGAGUAACUUCAUCUUUAGUAAGAUCGAAGUGCGUAGGCCCCUCACUCAUUCUCUGUGGUCCCCUGCUUGCGAUUCUUGAGGACUUUCGUGAAGAUGACAUCUUUCUCAGUGUUUGGAAGAUUCCUUGCUUGACUUUCCUAGAAAAGAUGACAACUUUUUGAAGAUUGAGCGAAGAAGACAAACGGGAAUGGAGGAUCGAUGCUUUCUAGGGUUUUUGAGAGAAAAGUGAAUAGAAAAGUGAAGAGGAAUCGACAGUGCACAAUCGGUUAAAAAGAAGAGUAAACGAACCGUCACAAAGGAAAUAAAAAUAUGCCUUUUCAAAAUAACUGUCUUUAUCCGCAAAAAUAGCUAUUUCAAAAAUAACUUCCCUUUUGAAAAUGAAUCGAUGCAAUAUUUACGUUAAUUAAAUAUAGCAACAAUUUAAACACAGUCUGAUGAUCGUACCUUUUCAAGAUAAGAUUGGAGAGAGAAAGACUUACAGUCUGAAGGUCGAGCCAAGACUGUAGAUAAAGUCUUGUAAGCCUGAGUCUGAAAGUCUUUAGACUUUGAUAUCCUCAUACCUUAAAAUGUUGAGUCUGGACCGUAUAGACUCAAAUUGAUUUUUCUCCAAAGGCUUUGUGAGUAUAUCAGCUAGUUGAUUCUUUGAGUCAACAAAUUGAAUUGAAACAUCUCUAUUUUGAACAUGAUCUCUAAUAAAGUGAUGUUGAAUCUCUAUAUGCUUUGCUCUUGAGUGGAGAAUUGGAUUUUUGGUGAGGUUGAUAGCGCUGGUGUUGUCGCAAUUAAUCUCCGUGCAUGAGUCUUCAAUUUCAAAAUCUCUUAGCUGUUGUUUUAUCCAUAGAAUUUGCGAACAGCAGCUUCCAAGAGCUACAUACUCUGCUUUUGUUGUUGAAAGAGACACAGUGCUUUGUUUCCUUGAAAACCAAGACACUGUCCUGCUACCAAGCAACUGGCAAGUUCCUGAAGUACUCUUUCUAUCAACUCUGCAACCGGCCAGAUCUGCGUCUGAAUAUCCCAGAAGAUUAAAGUCUCCCUUAUUAGGAUACCNNNNNNNNNNNNNNNNNNNNNNNNNNNNNNNNNNNNNNNNNNNNNNNNNNNNNNNNNNNNNNNNNNNNNNNNNNNNNNNNNNNNNNNNNNNNNNNNNNNNNNNNNNNNNNNNNNNNNCAGGUCUAGAGGCAGUAAGAUAAAGAAGUGAUCCAAUAAUGCUCCUGUACAGCUUUUGAUCAACUUUCUUUCCUUCUUCAUCUUUGUCUAUCUUUAAAGAACUUGACAUUGGUAUGUCGGUCUUUUUGCACUUUUCCAGUCCAAACCUUUUGACAAGAUCAUUAACAUAUUUUUCUUGAUAAAUAAAAGUUCAUUCCUUCAAUUGUUUUACUUGAAGACCAAGAAAGAAUGUUAACUCUCCCAUCAUACUCAUUUCAAACUCAUCCUGCAUAGACUUUGAAAAUUUCUUGCACAGACUUUCAUUAGAGGAUCCAAAAAUAAUAUCAUCCACAUAUAUUUGAACAAGUAAGAAACUUUUGUUUUCCUUCUUGAUAAAUAAAGUCGUAUCUACUUUACCUUUGACAAAACCAUUUUGUAUUAGGAACUUACUUAAUCUGUCGUACCAAGUCCGAGGUGCUCGCUUUAAACCAUACAAAGCAUUUUUCAGUCUGAAGACUGAGUCUGGCUUCUUUGGGUCUUCAAACCCUUGCCACUGGAGCGUAAGUCUCAUCAUAGUCUAUUCCUUCUUCUUGCGUAUAUCCCUUGGCCACGAGUCUUACUUUAUUUCGUACGACUUUUCCUUUCUCGUUCAUCUUGUUUCUGAACACCCAUUUAGCUCCAAUAACAGUUUUACCUUUUGGUUUGGAUGUCAAUUCCCAGACAUCAUUUAUGCUGAACUGUCUGAGCUCUUUUUGCAUAGCUUCAAUCCAGCUUUCAUCAGAUAAAGCUUCUUCUAUGCUCUUUGGUUCAAUUUCAGAAACGAGUGCCACAGCACUAGACUCUUCUCGCCUUUUGGAUCUGGUGCGAAUUCCUUCAUUAAUUUCGCCAAUUAUAAGAUCUUUGGGAUGAUUGGACUUAUGCUUCCAGUUACUUGUUGAUUUGUCUGGUUGAUGAUCUCUUUCUUUAUUUGGAUCUUCACUAACAACCUGAUGCUGGUUUUCCAGAGUCUGAGAUGCUUCUUGAGUUGUAGAAUUUGGAGGGUCUGGAGCAGGUUCAGACUCUUCUUGAUGAGUCUGACUUGAUUCAUCUUGCGUUGAGUCUUGAAAUUUGACAUUCAUUGACUCCUCUACAGACUGACUCUUCUUGUUAUAGACUCUGAAAGCUUUGCUUGAUGUAGAAUAUCCAAGGAAGAUACCUUCAUCUGAUCUUUCUUCAAACUUACCAACUCGAUCUUUUGCAUUUUUCAAUAUAAAACAUUUACAACCAAAUACAUGAAAGUAUGAAACAAUAGACUUCUUUUCUUUGAAUAACUCAUAAGGGGUUUUCUGAAGAAUAGAUCUUAAGAAGACUCUAUUGAUGAUAUAGCAUGCUGUUGAAACAGCUUCAGCCCAAAAUCGAGAAGAAAUUUUACUUUCAAUUAAAAGGGUUCUAGCCAUUUCUUGAAGAGAUCUGUUCUUUCUUUCCACAACUCCAUUUUGCUGAGGAGUAUAUGGAGAGGAAAACACAUGCUUAAAGCCAGAUUCAUCAUAGAAUUUUGUAAAAUCUUGAUUUUCAAAUUCACCUCCAUGAUCUGUUCUUAUACUAGAGAUAACACAUCCUUUUUCAUUUUGAACCUUUUUAGCAAAUUUUUCAAAAUAUGAAAAGGUUUCGGACUUACUUGCAAGGAAAUAUACCCAAGUAAAACGGGAGUAAUCAUCAACAAUUACUAGGCAAUACUUCUUACCCCCAAUACUCUGAGUUCUGGUUGGUCCGAAGAGAUCCAUAUGCAGCAAUUGUAGUACAUGAUUAGUAGAGACAUAAUUUAUUGGCUUAAAAGAAUUUCUUACCUGCUUUCCCAGAAUACAUGGAGUGCAUGAAUCAGUCUUUUGGUAUGGCAAUUUGGGUAGACCUCAAACAAGCUGCUUUGAUGAGAUUUUGGCUAAUUGCUUCAUGUUGACAUGACCAAGCUUUUUGUGCCAUAAGCUUGCUUCGUCUUGAAUUGAGAUAAGGCAUUGCGAUUCAUUUGGUUUCACAUCCAGAAGAUAGAUAUUUCCAUGUCUUCGACCCAUGAAAGACUGAGUAGAGUCUUUACUGAUUCCAGAACAUGUUCCUUAUUGAAAGAAGAUCUUGAAACCAGUAUCACACAAUUGACUAAUGCUGAGAAGAUUGUAAUUGAGUCCUUCCACUAAGGAAACAUUACUUAUUGUGAGAGUUCCAAUUUUCACGGUUCCAAAUCCCACAAUACUUCCUUUGCUGUUUCCUCCAAAUGAAACUUUUCCACCAUUUACUUGAGCAAGCUUUAUAAAGCAAUUUGAGUCUCCUGUCAUGUGUCUUGAGCAUCCGCUGUCAAGAUACCACUUUACCUGUUUCUUGACGGAGACCUGCAUUUAAAAUAAAGUCUCAAGCUUUCUUUGGUACCCAAAUUUUCUUGGAUCCUUUGGUGUUAGUAAGAUAAACAGUAUUAGCCCAUACUUUCUUAACAGGUUUCCAUAUCAUAGGACACUCUUUUUCAAAGUGAUCCGGACUGUUGCACUUAGAACAUCUGAGAGCAUUUCUACCUACAGGUUUUACAAAAACUUUCUUGAAGUGAUUUUUGUAAACCUCACUUGAAAGCCUUUUCUUAAUUCUUUCUUUUACUUUAGGAAAAUCAAUCAAGGGAAUUGUUUCUUCUGUCAUACCUAGACCAGACUUAUUGAAGUAAGGUCUUUGUGCUGAAAGAAUUUUCUCAAGUUUUUCAGACCCUAUAGAAAAUUUCUUUGAUAUAUUUGAUAAGUCUGUUUUUAAAAAAACAUUUUCUUUUAAAAGAUUUUCUUCAUUUUCUUUAAGAUUGGAAACAGACAAGUCUAGACUUUUAACUCUUUCUGCUAAAACAUUUUCCUUUUGUUUUAGAGUUGAGUUUUCUUUUUUUAGUUUGGAAAUUCUUUUGAGAGAAGUCUUAAGACUAAAGCAUAGUUCAUCAAUAUAUUUAGAAACUUUGACAGGAAUUUUAAAAUUACUUGCCUCAAAUUCACUGUCUGAGUCUGAUCCAGAGUCUGAGUCUGAUUGUGCCAUCAGACAUAGAUUGGCAUAUUCAUUAUCACUUUCUUCACACUCAGUAUCACUCCAGGUUUUAGCUUUGAGAGCUUUUCGAAAUUUUUCAGCUUUUCCUCUCUUCUUCUUCAGAAGAGGACAGUUGGGUCUGAUGUAUCCCUUUUUCUUGCAUUCAAAGCAGACUACAUCUUUAUUUGGUUCCUCAUCAUCAACAGACUUGGUCUGCUGUCUUUGAAAGCUUUGUUUCUUUGAGUUGAACCUUCUUCCUUUUCUAUUUAGUUUUUUGAAUCUUCUUAUCAUGAGAGCAAGCUCCUCAUUGUCCAUAUCAUCUUCAGAAUCUGUAUCAUCAGAAUCAUCAGUUGAUUUUAAUGCAAUGGAUUUCUUACCUUUUGGAUCUUCAUCUCCAUUGAUCAUUUCCACUUCAUAGGACUGAAGAGUUCCAAUCAGCUCGUCAACAGAUAGUGGCAUAAUUCUCUGCGUCUCUCUUAUCGAAGUCUUUAUGUGAUUCCAAUCCCUGGAGAGUCCACGCAGUAGCUUGUUUACCUUCAUGGGAUCAGAAGUUGGUUGACCUUGAUUCUCAAUACCAUUCACAAUAUCUGUAAAACGACUAAACAUGUCAGAUAUUGAUUCUCCUGGUUUCAAUAUGAAGGCUUCGUAUUGACCGAGAAGAAUGUUGAUUCUUGUUUCCUUCACUCGAUCUGUUCCUUCAUAGGUGAUAUGCAAUCUGUCCCAAACUUCUUUUGCUGUACCACAAGAAGAUAUUCUAUUAUAUUCAGUUGGUGAUAAAGCACAAUAUAAGGAGUAAAUUGCUUUUGCAUCGAGUGUUUGUCUCUUGAUUAUUUCUUCCUGAGACAUUCCGCUGGUUUCUUCAGUUUCUUUUCCUCUUUCAGAGACUGAUGCAGUGGUAGGAGUAAUUCCUUUUUCUACAACGUCCCAUUCCAGAGGAUCCUUUGAUCGUAGGAAAGCUUUCAUCUUGUUCUUCCAGAUGUUGUAAUCCUUUCCAUCAAAGUAGGGUGGUCUGGUAUUGCUUUGCCCUUCCAUCAGCCCUGGUGCUAGCAUACUAACCAUGGAUCUUUAACUCUGAAGUAAAACACUUCAAACAAUGUGAGUACACGAGCUCUGAUACCAAUUGAUAUAGCUAGUAUGAGUACCUAGAGGGGGGUGAAUAGGUGCCUAAACAAUUUAUAGAUAUAUGGAAGCGAUUCUUAACAAAAUGAAAUACGAUCGAGGUAUAGAGAGAGAGAGAAGAUUGAACACAGGAUCGAGGUAGAGAGAGUGAGGAAGAUAAAAUUGAACACAUGAUUUAUAGUGGUUCGGCUUAUUCCAAGCCUACGUCCACUCUUCCGCACUGACAGCCCACCGGCUGGAUUUCACUAUGAUCAAAAGAGAAGUUACAGCACAGCUUUGCCUUGAUUCCACAAUGUGGAUGUUCUACCACACCUCAUCAAGGUCUCUCACAAAUAUAGACUCUCUUUUGUAUACAAGUAUUCGCUCAAAGGAUUUAUCUAAACAAAUAGGAACUUCAGACUUUGGAAUUCUUCUAUCGCACACACCUCGAACAACUAAGAACGUCUUCCUUAUAUACUCCUUUAUGCCAUCAUACCCGUUGGCACUUACCAAAGGAAUUCCUCCAAUCUACCCGUUGGACGGAAUCAAUUAGGAAGAUUGUUCGAGCUAUUAAAGGAACGUGUUGAUAGCCUAUCAAUCCUGUUCGCCCAUACAAUCAGGAUCUCGGUUUCCAUAAGUAGAACCUUCCAAUAAUAUUUAGACAAUCAUUGAAUCAAACUUGAUCAACCAAAGGAUUCUGAUACGUCUUCUCCAGCCACGAGAUCUUCUCCAGAUGAUAAGGUUAAAUCCUGAACAAAACAUCCAGUUCUGGAUAACCUUUCUUCAACGGAUUAGAGACUGUCAAUGAGGAUAGACUUUGAGUCUUGAGUCUGGCUGUUCGGAAGUCUUCAGACUUUAACUAACAGAGUCUGCAGACCUUCAGACUAGACUGAUGGAAACGUUUUGUCAACUUCAAAACACUUUCACUAAGAUUUCUCCAACAAGUGAUCCCUAUGGAUCUCAAUGCCAAGAACAAAAGACGCUUCACCAAGGUCUUUCAUGUCAAAAUUUUACGAUAACAUCCACUUUGUCUCAUGCAGUAAACCAAUGUCACUACUAGCAAGCAAGAUAUCAUCUACAUAAAGUAUGAGAAAAAUAUAUUUCCUCCCACUAACCUUGGUGUAUAUACACUAAUCUACUUUGUUCUCAAUAAAUUCGAAUGAAGUAACAACACUAUGAAACUUGAAAUACCACUGUCUAGAAGCUUGCUUAAGGCCAUAAAUAGACAUUUUCAAUCUACAAACAAGCUUACUUGAGUUGUCUGCUACAAAACCUUCAAGCUGCACCAUAUAAACCUCCUCAUCAAGGUCUCCAUUGAGAAAAGUAGUCUUAACAUCCAUCUGGUGUAACUCCAUAUCGAAAUGAGCUACCAAUGGCAAGAUCACUCUAAAAGAAUCUUUAGAAGAAACUGGAGAAAAUGUUACUUCAUAAUCUAUUCAUUCUCUUUGAGUGAAACCCUUAGCUACCAAUCUGAGUUUAAACUUUUCAAUCUUUCCUUUGGUAUCCCUUUUAGUCUUGAAUACCCAUUUGCAGCCAAUAGGUUUACAACCUUCAGGUAAUUCAACAAGCUCCCAAACACCAUUGUGUUUCACAGAUUGCAUCUCAUCUUUCAUCGCAUCUAGCCACAAAUCUGAUUGAGGACAUAAGAUGGCAUCCGUAUAAGUUACUGGAUCAACAACACAACCAAUAUCAUAAUCAUGUUCUCCUAGGUAGACAACAUAGUCUGGUGGUAUAGCUGAACGUCUUUCUCUAGUUGAUCUUCUGAGUGGAGCUACUUCAACCUCAUUCUGAAUUUGAGGAGCUUGAGGAAUUUAAUAAGGAACUGUCUCAACAAUAGGAUCUUGGGCCACAACAGGCUCAGUUUGUGGCGCAAGAGGCUCUAUAAUUUUCUGCACAUGAUGAAACAGGGAUCCAAUAAUCCCCACCAUACUAUCAUCUUUGAUAGCUUGUGAGUAGCUACCCUUUUUCAGCUACAUCAAAUUCUGGAAAUUUUGCAGUCUGAGAUUCCACAAUUCUUGUACCCCCAUUAGGGUUAUAAAACCGAUACCCCUUUGAAUGAUCUGGGUAAGACACGAAGUAACACUGAGUAGUUUUGGAAUUUAGCUUACUUAAUGUUGGAUUAUAUAACUUCACUUCUGCUGAACAUCCCCAAACUUUAAGAUGAUUCAAGCUAGGUUUACGUCCAGUCCACAACUCAAAAGGAGUCAAUGGAACCGCUUUGGUAGGAAUGUGAUUUAGAAUAUAAAGAGCUGUUUUCAAAGCUUCACCCCACAGAAAAUUAGGUAAAUUGAUCCUACUACUCAUAAUUCUCAUCAUGUCCAUAAGAGUACGAUUGCGCCUUUCAACUACACCAUUUUGUUUAGGACUUUCAGGCAUAGUAAACUGACUUAUUAUCCCAGAAUCCUCUAGGUAUCUAGCAAACUACCCUUUAAGUUGUCCAGCAUCUCCGUGCCUACCAGAAUACUCACAAACACGAUCAGAUCUGACAAUCUUAAUAACUUUUCCUAACUGUUUCUCCACUUCAGUCCGAAAAAUCUUGAAUUUAUCAAGAGACUCGGACUUUUCUUUAAUCAAAUAUAAGUAUCCAUAUCGGGAAUAGUCAUCAAUAAAUGUGAUGAGAUAAAAAUUUAUGCAUAAAGUAGCCGUGUAUGGUCCACUAAUAUUAAUGUGAAUAACCUCCAACAAGUUUGAACUUUGUACGGCGGAUUUCUUCUUUAUCUUAGUCAUCUUACCUCUGCAACAGUCUACGCAAGUCUCUUGAUCAUCUUUAAGAGUAGGCAAGAUAUCAGCCUUUAUAAGCCUUUCUACUCUUUCUUUAGAGAUGUGAUCAAGACGUUUAUGCCACAAUGCAUAAGAUUGUUCCUUAGGUAAAGGCCUUUUGGAAACAACUUUUUCGACUAAAUAAGCAACGUACAUGUCGUUAGGAGAUAAACUCAAUCGGUAUAAUCCAUCGGAUAAAUUGUUACACCCAAUCUUAUUUGAAUCAUAAAACAUGGAAAUAGUAUUACUCUUUAUUUCAAAAGAGUAUCCACACAUGUCCAAACAAGACACAUAAACUAAAUUCGCCUAAAAGAAUGUAUGUAAAAAGUGUUUCUUAACACCAUCCAAACACCAGAAUCUAAAAUCAAAAUAACAUCUCCCACGAACUCGACGUCAACUCUAACGCUGUUUCCAACAGUGAGCAUUGAUUCAUCCUGAUUUGGCAUCCUUCGGUUUAUAAACCCUUGUAUGGUAAAUGUAACAUGAUUAGUUGCACCACUAUCUAGCCACCAAGAAUUGGUCGGAACUUCAGAUAAAUUGGAUUCAUAAACAAAUGCCAAAUAAUCAUUACCUUUAGGCUCACUCUUAGUUCUCUUAGACAACCAAGCCUUAAACUUGCUGCAACGUUUCUUUACAUGUCCUCUCUCCCUACAAAAGUAGCAAUAAACACCAUUCUUCUUGGUGAAUGUUUUCUUGGGACCCAAACUGUUAGAAGGUCCAGCAUCUUCAGAAUUUCCUUUAUUGUUGGAAGAUCCAGCAACUUCAGAAUUGCCCUUAUGAGUAUAAGUUUUCACAUUCUUUCUCUUAUCACUACCAGAGUUAGAAGCAUAAAGGGCAACGUGUCCUUUAUCUUUCUUCAAUUUUUCUUCCUCUGCCACCAGCCUUGCAAUUAGGUCAUUAACUGACCAGGUUUCAUCUUGGGAACUAUAAUUGGUCUUGAUAAUCCCAAAAUCAGGAGGAAAAUCAUUUAGAGCUUGAUGCACAAUGCAAGUAGUGGGAAUACAACAUUGAGAGCUUCAAGCUUUGUCUGCAAAUCUAUCAUUCUCAUAACAUAAUCUCUAACUCCACCAGAACCAUCAUACUUCAUAGUAAAUAGUGUUUGCAUGCGUGUUCCUAUCUCAGCAUUAUGUGAGACACGAUUUCUAGCCAUCAAGGCUUCCAUCAUCUGCCUAGCAGUGCAGUCUGCAGGCAAACCACUUUUCAAGUGUUCCUAAAUGGAACGCUUCAUCGACAGUAAGCAAAUUCUAUUGCUCUUUUCCCAGGCAGUAAAAUGAGAUUUCUGAGCUUCUGUACUCUCAGCAGUAAGAUCUGCCGGCCGAUCGACAGUAAAAGCCAUAUGAACAUCUGCUAUCUCCAUAGCAAACAGAAAAUCUUCUCUACAUUUCUUAAAGUUUGAACCAGUAUGAACCUCAAUAGUGACGGAGUUACCGUUUACAGAAAAGGUGACUAAAAGACAAGCAGUAUAUAUAAUUAGCAUCAUGUGAGCAUUGUGUAACUUGACGUACAAGUACAUGUCCAGAGAGUUACAUGCAAAAUCACAUAAUCACCUUUGGACAGAAUACAUGACAUGCAAUUGUACACUCCCCACAUGAUAGCAGUUAUGAGAAUAUAUUACAAUCUUCGUGAAUUCAUCACUUUUGGGAAUAUGAACCAUUAGGAUCGGUCACUCCUCCACCAUAUCAUCAUGUAUCCCUCCAUGAACUAAUACACAAUCACCUCCUUUGGGAGUAUGACUAUGCAUUAGACCAGAAGAUAUCCCAAUCAAUAUACAAGAUCGAAAUUUCUCAAACCCAAUCAAGUGUGCCACUUUGGCGGUCACAACUUAAUUGAAUCCUUGAAACUCUCUCAUAUCAGGGAUAUAAUCUUUACAUCUCACAUACAUCAUAUACAUGUGAUUUAACUUUAGUGAAAAGGGCAUCAUAUCACUUAAAUCACAUGACAUGCUAAUUACACUGCCUUAUUCAUUAAUAAAAUACAAUAAAGUUUAAUUUUUUUAAUAAAUCACACUUUUAUAAUAUUUAUGUGAUAACAUACCAGUAACCCAACACAUGUAUUUCCAAAAACACAGAAAAUACAAGAAAAAUACGCAAAAAUACACUAAAAAUUCACUUAUUUAGGGCUUUGUAUGUAUUUUCACAUCCAUAAAAUCAUCAAACAUGUAAAAUAAAUACACCACAAGAUAGAACAUGGCAAUGCGAAUCCAACGCCACCAACCACGCACUAAACAGAUACUCCACGCGCCCACAUGUGCCGCCUGAGUGCUCGGCGCGUGGAGCUCACGUGCAGUGCAUGUUCGACGCCCAGGAGGCGCGUGGCCGCGCGUGGGGGCGCGUGCGGCCUCCUCCGGCGACGCGCCGCCCACGGUUCUCUUCGUCUCGUCGAGCCCAGUCCGAAUAUAUAAUUUAAUUUAAUUUUUAUUGAACGAAAAAUCUCAAAAAUCUCAAAUUAUGGCAAAAUCAUUUGCGUUCAUGUUCUAGGGUUAUGGAGGCUCUGAUACCACAUGUAGGACGCAAACUGCGUAACCCCAAAAUCUUUAUAAGUAGAACAAGAACAUGCAUAAUUGAGUAGAAAGAUUAACGCACCUGUAUUGGGAUCCAUUGUUCUUGAAGUGGAAGCAGAAACACAAUGUUCCACACGCAAGUCCUUCUCCUCUAUUACUCUUCGUAUGAUUGGCUCAAUGAGGCGGCCCUCCUCACGUGUAGCGUUAGGUAAAUGCCCCUUAGGUGAGGAUACAUGUGAGAAUUAGGGUUAGAGGAGAGACUUUAGCACUAUUUAUAGAGUUUCCAACCAGGCCACCUCAUUACGGGCCAGGCUCAACUUGGCCCACACUAGCCAGCCCAAUAUUAGACUAAUUAAGAAAUAUUCUAUCUCACCUUAGACCAGCCAUGUUUUACGGUAGCCGUAAAAAUAGUAAAUUACAAUAUCAAUUAAUGUAGUUCACAUUAGGAAAAUUCUUACAAUAUAAUUAUCGAAUUGCUACUUAAAAAAAGAAAAAAGGAAUCACGUGAAGAAAGAAAAGUCCAUGUUUGCAAACGUCUGUGCUCUUGCAUUUCGCCUUCCGCACACGAAGGUCCGGAGGGCGGCGCCUAGGACGCCAAGAGACCAUUAAGCCCUCGGCUCUUCACCUCGGCCAAGAAGUCAAGGGGAGGGUAAUUAUGGGAUUUCCACCUCCUAAUUCCUCCCCCCGACCCCCAAAAAGAAAAAAAACAAUCACGAGGUCAAAAGUGGGGAAGACAAUAAUGUUUGACGGCGGCGCUUGGUUGGAAUCUAAGAAAAAGAUAUUCGGUCUGCCAAUGACAGAAGGCACUUCAUUCCAACGAAUCUUGUUACUUAAUUGUAAUUUUUAUUAAAUACAUCAAGAAAAGUACGGUAUCAAUUGAGAAUCCGCAUAUCUACCACACUAUCAAAUAAAUGUCAACCCAAACUUAAAAAGAUCCGACCCAAACCUAAUCCUAUGAUGCUCUUGAUCAUCAAGUGAAAAGAUUCAUACGAAAUAAAAAAGAAAAAAAAGAAAAACAAGUGCAACCCUGAGACAAACAAUACGAUAAACUUUUGUGUUAUGCAUUGCAAUAAAUUUCAUCAUCGAUUAUUAAACAAAAUACAAGACCAAAAUCUGAUUCCAACUGCAUAACUAGAUGGAGCUUUCAGAUUCACAUUAAGGCAAAGAGGAGACACCAUGAAGCUUCCCACAAUCAUAUUUUGUAAUACCUUUCACCACUCUACCCAAGAGGAGCCCAUAGAAUACAUCUCUUAGGAACCUCAUGAAUCGACUAGACCCAUCUUGUUGCACCCAUCCCGACAAGUACGAUGCUGUUAUCAGUGUCGCCACCCUCCAUCUCCUCUCCUUUGCGUACCCCUCUAUAGCAAGAGGAGCCCAUAGUUUGCCGUGCUCGGCAAUGGAGUUCCCGAGGUGCCUACCCAAUGCCACCGCAUCCUCGAGAGCCGAACAUCCCCCCUGGCCCAAGUCGGGAGUCAUCGGGUGCAUAGCGUCUCCAGCCACCGUGACAUUUGAUCGAACUAGGUUGCCGAACAGGAUGUCCCAAGGAUAUCGGAACAUCAGUGGCGCCCAUGUCAAACUUGAAAGGUCAGAGUGCUUGACGACAUCGAGGUACACGGGUGGGAAGUCCUUCGCCAAAUUUUCCAUCACCUCCCUUUGUAUAAUUUCUGGAUCUGCUCCUUUUUCCACACCUUUAUAAAUGGAAGCGUUAGGGAUCGGGGAGGAUUAGUAAGCUAGUAUUGAAGGAGCCAUCGUGGUUGGGAAUCUCAGCAGAAGAUAAAAUGUAAUAUACAUGGUACCUUUAGGAGGACACGUGGCCACAAAGAACCAAUACAAUUCCUUAUCAUUGAGAGCAAUAAAACCUGCCCUCUUGCCCACAUCCACAAAUUGUUGAAGCGCAUGGCCAUGAUCAAAACCAUGACCUUUCGGGAACACAGACAACCCGCGCACUGCCACCGGCCUGAAUUGACUGGCGGGCGAAGUCCAAGCCAACGGGCCACGAUAGAGUGCACGCCAUCACAUCCUAUAACAACCUACAUGUAUAAUAUUUUCAGUGUGGAUAAGUUAAAGUGGAUAAGUUACCUCAUCAUAUUUGAAUUCAAAAGAAGGUUCUCUAGAAAUUGUAGGGAACCUUAGACUUUAUGAUGGUCCCAUCAUCGAGCAUGACAAUACAAAUGGACAAGCCGUGUUCUACUUGGGUUUCGAUGGAAGUUAUCUUGGAAGAGAAUCGAAUGCUAUUUGGAGGAAGCUCCUCCGCCAGAACUUCCAACAAGACUUUUCGAUGGACUGCUCUUGGUUGGGCUCCAUUCCUGCUCAAUCCAGAUGGAAUGAUUUUCUAUCCUUGGAAUACGAAAUGACAUGCAUAAAAUAAUAACAUUUGUUGUGGGAGAAAAAAAACAGUCGAAGUAUAAGAUAAACAGGACAAGAAAAUAAAUUGAAUAUUGAAUUUAUUUGACUCAAUCAGUAAGAUCUACUCCACACGAAAAAUGGCACAAGACCCACUAACGAAAAUUAUAAUUACAAUUAAAUUAUUUAAAUACUCCCAUUAUUCUCUCAAUGGGGGUUGCUCUUCACGAAAAAGACUCCUUAUAUAGAAAAGAAUUAGAUCCAAAAUACGAAAUUACCUAGUUGGAUUGAGUUCUCUUUAUGAGUCUCAAAUUCUAGACAUAUUUUCAACAACAUAAUAGAAUAAAUUACCCAAUUCUAUCUAACAAAAGGAGUAUUAUAUUUUCAAACUCUAUUAUUGAAGAUCUUCCUAAAAGAUGAGUUGUCAAAAUAGGGGCUAUUAGUCCCAUUCAUGGUAUAUUUCCGACGGUCAUUUGUAUCAUUUUGUGCAAAAUAAAACAUAUAGUAACCAAUUACAAGAAAUUAAUCAGUCUGAAACAUUAAACGGUAAAUUAAGGAAACAAAGAUGAUGGAAAGGUAGGUAGCAUAUAUGAGAGGAAAUUUGAGAUUCACCUGUUGCCUGGAUAAUGCACUUCUUGAAUCGAUUUAGUCUUGACAUCAGUUAUGUAUCCCCUGAACAAGUACCAAAAAAAAAUAAAAAUUAAUAAGUAAAAUUAUUUUCUUUCAUCAUUGAGAAAUUGUAGGACAGAUCAAGGUCCAGCAUCCUGGAUCAAUAACCGAUUUAAGAAGCUCCCAAAACGGGCGAAUCCUAAAAUCAAUUUAACAAAGUACAAAACCAAUGUAGAGCUUAUCUUUCUAUUCAGUAUAUCUUGCUUGAAAAGCCUAUUGCUCUUUCUCACUGAUAUUGCAGUUUUUCCCUUCAUUUGAUGAAUAUCUAAUUAGUUAUUUUAUUCUAAGCACUAAUCGCAUUAGCAACCUCAAUAGGCAAAUUUCACGGUGCACUUUACAAUUGGCAAUGAUCUCAAUUUUCAUGAUUUUUUCCCCAUGGAAGAUGUAAAACCACUUUUUGACCAAUUUUUUUAAUACCUAACGAACAUCGUUUGCAAAUAACCCAAAAAAAAAAAAAAUCAUUGCAUUAAAUGAUCGAAAUGAAAGUUCAUGAACUUAAUUGCAUCAUAUGAAGAUCUACUCACUGCGAUUGAAAUGCGUUUGGAUUUUUUUAACUACUUUUCACUAUAAAAGUGAUUUACUUUUAGUUGGUUUUAUCCCCAACGAGCUAGCACAAGAUUAGGCGUAUUUAACAUCUUCUAAAAGAUGCUUACACUAAUUCAGCAUUCAUCAACUCUGAGUGCUGUCAUCUUUCAUAGCAGAGAAAUCACUCAUUUAACUCUCGAUCUGUACAUGAUUGUUGAACUAAAGAUUAGAUCGAGUUUUAAUACUUCGAAAUGAUAAAACAUUCUACAAUAAUCAGACGUCUAUUUUCAAGUGCAAAGAGCGAACAAGGACCUCACCUUUUCAGAGGAGCGUACAGGGCAGCGAGCUUGUCCGAAACGCCGAGUGCAUCGAGCGCAACCCACGCAUUAGCAAAGAGACCGAGAGCCGCACCGGUCGUUCGGAGCUCCUCCGAUCUCUCAAGGACGAGGGCUCGGACACCGACCUUCUUAAGGGCCACUGCCGUCGCCAGACCUGCGAUGCCGGCACCGACUAUCACCACCUCCUCCAUGGUCGUGUUCUACUUCGAGCUUGUUGAGUGUGCGCACGUGUGCUUUUGGGAUAAGUAGUCUCUUAUCUUGCGGUCCCUAUUUAUGGAGUGGCAAACUUGUCGUCUUUUGAUAGCCACGUCCCUGCUUACGAAUGCUACAGAAGCAUUGAAUGAAAAUUACAGCCACAGAAUGGGGGGCAAUGAUUGAAUGAAACGUGAGCCAUUUCCAGAAAAUUUCGGCUUUUAUUUCAAAAGGAGUGAAAUUAAAAUUUCCAACCUGAAUAUAGACUUUUCAAAUUCAUUUGUUUUUCCAGAUUCUCUUCGGUUCUUUUCUUUACUUUAUUAAGCUUUCGCUAUUGUAAGGUGGAUUUGAACUUGCUUUGUUGGGUUUAGCCUUGUGACAUCCAUAAGUUUAAAACGUGUACCUUUUUAAGCUGUAAAUUGUCUGAUUGACAGUAAGAUUUUUCAUAUUUGCCAAUUUUGAGCUUGGUCUUUAUUAAGGAGUCUUACGUGAGGGGGCUGGCUUUCAUUUAACAAAUUUUUAGUGACAUUUUGGAUACUUCAGUUGCAGCAACUUUUUUUGGGUGAAAAUUCCAGCAGCAACGUCAGUGUUUGCGUCAAAUGCCCAGAUUGACCAAAUGUCCUCUCUUGACCACUCUUUACGAUCGACUAGUCGUCCUCUAUCAUAUCCACUAGAUUUUCACGAUAUUACGAAACCUCCUAACAUAACACAUAUCCGCUAGUCAACUCAAUUAAUCAUAAUUCUCAAGUGGGCAUCAAUAUAGCCUUUUAAAACAAUAGGAUAUUUGUCUUCUUACAUAACAUAGUCUUUACUUUUUUUUUAGAUAAUCUAACACUUUCAACAGAGCAGUCCAAUGCUGGUAACCAGGAUUACCUAUAUAUUUACUCAAUAUUCCUAUUGAGUAUGCUAAAUUUAGUCUAGUGCAAUUCGUGAUAUACAGAAUAUUGUCGAUUACUUGAAAAUACUCUAGUUGCCUAAUAUUGUUUUUAGUAUUCUUUCUAAAAGUUAUGUGUGGAAUAUAAGGAUUAUCUGCAUAUUUGAUUAGAACCUUUUAACCUCUCAAUUCAUUUUCAAUGUAAUGAGAUUGUGUUAAACCUAGACCAUCGUGAUUCCAACACUUUUUUCAUAUCGAACCACAGUAUUGGACUUUUCGUUGAUGCAAAAAAAAUUAGGCAUGGUCAAAAUAUAGUCAAAUCUAGAUUAAAAAAAAAACACAAAAUCAAUCUUAAAUUUUUUUACCAAUUAGAUGGUUUUCAUCACCUGUACAGCAACAACACACAAGAUGUACAAAUAGUAGAGAGCUAUAGAGAAAGACAAACUGAAAUUGUAAAAAGAUCGUAAGCUUUUGUUCAAUAUUAUUGUCUUGCCACACUUAUGCAGACCACCAUCUUUAUUUAUCGUCAAUGGAUUUUAGAUUGAUAGUGAAGUUUCAAGAAAGAUGGAUAUGAAGCUAUGUCAACCCUCUUUAAAUACAGAUAGAUCAAUGAGCAAGGUAAUAUUUUUCAAUUUUGGAAGAUCGUGAAGUACCAACUUUUUAAGACUUUGAAGUGUUCUUGGGUCCAUACAAGAUUUGUCGAAUACAAUGAAGAUAUCCUCAAUUUCGUAGCACUUUUCGACAUUCAAACGAGAAAGUUGGAUAGUUGCUCAGUCAAACCAUUUGAAAAUAUAUUUUUUGGCUUAGGGCAAUUGUACAAGGAUAUGACCGAUAAAAAUUUUCCCAAACUUAGGUAAAAAAAGCAAUAUUAUUAUUGUUUUGAAAUCAAAUCGCAUUUUUUAAACAAUCGGGUUAGGAGCUUUUUGUAGGGGUAAAAAUCAAGAGAUGUUGAACGGGAAAGUUAGGCCCAGCCAAAUAUGGUCAACUUUGGGUAAAAAAAUAGAUAAAUAUUAUUUUAAUUUUACCAAAUUAAAUAAUUUAACCGGCCAUCCGACCGCUCAUGAAGUUCUCGAGGACUUGGCGAUACAGCAUGUUCCUAUACAUUUUUUAAAAUCUCUGCAUGUCCCUAACAUUUUUCUUGGAUAAAGCUAAAUUUCUGAUGUCCUUUCAAUUCUCUCUCUAGCUAUUGAAAUAUCGGCAAGAGAUUCACAUUGAUUCUACAAUUUAACUUGGCAUGGAUGAUGGUCGAGGAGGUCGUCAAGCAACUGUAGGCGAACAUGGGAUCGAGCUAAAUUUCUAAUGUCCUUUCAAUUCUCUCUCUAGCAAUUGAAAUAUCAGCAAGAAAUUCACAUUGAUUCUACAAUUUAGCUCGGCAUGGACGAUGGUCGAGGAGGUCGUCAAGCAACCGUGGGCGAACAUGGGAUCGAUCUCAUGAGGCGGUACUUAUUGGCUACAAUGUCGGAAGAUACGAAGGCAGCACCAAAAUGGAUUGAGCUGUAGCAUCUCCAGAGUCCCACACUUUGUCAGAGGAAAUGACGGGGCGUGCCGACCCUGCAUCAUCUCUAUUGGCCCGUAACAGCACGGGCAAGGCAGAAGCAGAUGCUUCAAGAGCACGAGAGGAGAUAGCUCCACGCCAUGCUAGACCAAACUCAACCACACCGCCUCGAGGACCUCAUCAACACAGUGGCGCCGAAAGUGGAAAUGAUCCGGCAAUGCUACUCGGAGAGCACCCGCGGCUUCAGGACCUGAUGUUUUGAAAAUGGGGGUUCUGAUGGAUGCCUCAUCAUUCAGUUCCAAAGGGCAGGGAUUGUACGGACCGAUCCCCAUUAAGAAAUUACUGUACGGACCUUCUUUGGUCUGAGAACCAUGUCCCGUACUUUGUUCGGGAGGAUUCGUUCGAAACAACUAAUGUUCUGAAAAGAGCCUUGUCUUUGGCCCAUCUUGCCUUCUAGUUUCCUCCUAUUUUUGAGAAACUUCAUGUUGAAUGACAAGUCGGUUGUUAUAGAAAGCAGGCCCUAAAAGAAAGGUAAGGUUGGGUUCGGUUUUUCACAUUUAUCCAGCAGACAAGAGCUCAUUAUCUUAUCAGAUUUGCUUUGCUUCUAAGCUCUGUUGAGUGGGAAUUGGAUUCAAGCAGAGAGAAGCCGACCCUUCUUGGAGAUCAAAUUUCACCGUUGGAACCAUUCGAAUUCCAAAAAUAACAAUUGAUGAUCACUUCAGUUGCAAACUCACCAAUAUGGUUGCUUUUGAAGAGUGUCGUGGCCAAAUGCACAGGCACAAUAUUGCCUAUGCUGUGCUCAUGAGAUGCCCCAUUCACACGGCCAAUGAUGUACAACUUUGCUUUUGAAGAGUCGUGGCCAAAUGGCCAAGCACAAUACUGCUUAUGCUACGUUCAUGAGAUGUCCCAUUCCCACAGCCAAUGAUGCAUGACUGUAAAGCCAUCUUGCAUUACGGCUUGAGCAACGAGGAUGUUGCAUGCUUCUUCUUCAAUAAUGACAGCAGGACGCUGAUUUUGACCUCAACAGUAGCUAUCAAGCGUGGCACUUUGCAAUUUUAAACAAAUUCCUUAAAUAUGAACGGGCUUAUUGUUACUGCACACGACUCUGCUUUUCAUGAUAAUGACGGCCCAUGGUCGUGAAAGGAAUUGAGGAAGACAAGGGAACAGCAAGAAGAAUAGAUUUUAGGGGAAGAUUUUCUGUAUCUCUUUCAUUAAUUACUAAAGUGUAUAGAGCUCUGUAAUUAUAGUACUUGAUGUAUACAAACGUAGGGAAAGAAAAUAUCCCAAGAAUCAAAUCUAAUCUUUGAUUGAUAUAAUAAAUCAAUCACAUCUCGAGCAUAUCUUCUAACACUCUCCCUCAAGCUGGUGGCUUAUAGAUGUCCAAGACACCUAACUUGCUUAAUAGAUAUGUGUGUUGUCUUUGACAUAGGGGUUUGGUGAAAACAUCUGCCAAUUGUUAUGUGGUUCCAAUCCGCUUUGUCUCAAUUAUUCAUUCUUGAAUCUUGUCUCGAGUAAAAUGGCAAUCCAUUUCUAUAUGCUUCAUUCUUUCAUGCACUAUAGGAUUUGUUGCAAGUUUGAUAGCUACAUCAUCGUCACAAAAUAACUUGGUUGGUCCCUUUACUUGCACCCCAAAAUCCCAAGGCAAACCUCGUAUCCACACUAUCUCGCAAGUGGUCUUUGUCGUGGCUCGAUAUUCUGCUUCAGCUGAAGAUAAUGAGACGGUUGGUUGCUUUUUUGUUUUUCACGAAAGUAGAGAUUCCCCUAAUUUAAUGCAGAAACCUAUGAUAGACUUUCAGCGCAUGAGAUAAGUCACAUAAUCUACAUCACAAUAAGCUGUCAUUUCCAUGUUGCAUUUCCUAGAAAGAAGUGUCCCAAAUCCUAGGCAUUUCUUCAAGUACUUUAUGACCUUUGGAGCGGCAUUCAUAUGGGAUUGCUUUGGACUAUGCAUGAACUAACUGAGAGUUUGGACUACGUAACAUAAAUCAAGUCUAGUCAUGGUCAAAUAUAUAAGUUUUCCAACGAGCUUCUAAUAACUCGACAGAUCUCAAAGUAUAGGAUCAUCAUCUUGAGAUAUUCCCACAUCGUAAUCUAUCAUAGUUAACUUUGUGUUUUGCUUAAUUGGAAUAAUAGCCAGUUUGCAUCUUGAUAGACUUUCUUUAGAUACAAUCUCCAGUACAAACUUUUGUUGGCUGAGAGAAAUCCCUUGAUUGGAUUGGGUAAUUUCAAUUCCAAUGAAGUAUUUAGGUGAUCCCAGAUCUUUUAUAUGAAAAGUGGAAUGUAAAUACUCCUUAAAGCUCUUUAUGGCAGUUAUGUCAUUUCCCAUAAUAAGUAUAUCAUCAAAAUAUAUCAUCAAGAAGAUGGAUGACAUACAUUUUGUCCAUGUGAAUAAGGCAUAAUCAUAUCUAGAUUGCCUGAAACCUACAGCUACAAGAGCAUUGGCGAAUUUGGCAUACCAUUGCCUAGAGGCCUCUUUGAGGCCAUAAAGGGAUUUUCGGAAACGACAUACCCUAUUCUCCCCUUGUCUUUGUAAUCCUUGAGGAAGUUCCAUAUAAAUUUCCUCAUCCAAAUCACCAAUGAAGGAAAGCAUUAUUGACGUCCAUUUGGUGUAAUUCCCAAUCAUGAAGAGUUGCAACUGAUAAGAAUGAACAAACUAUGACAUCCUUGGCCACUAGAGAAAAUGUCUUAUGAUAGUCGAAACCUUCCCACCGUGUGAAACCUUUAGCCACCAAUCGAGCCUUGUAAUAUUCAAUAGAGCCAUCUGCUUGAUACUUGAUUUUGUACACCCACUUGCAUCCAAUUGGCUUUCGGUGAGGGCUCCCAUGUUUGAUUUUUUGCUAAGGCCUGUGAUUCUGCUUCCAUAGCUUUUUGCCAUUGUGGAUCAGUGGAUGCCUCAUCAUAAUUAGAGGGUUCUCGUUCUUCUGAUAUACAGUUGAUGCAACACCUAUGUCCUGGAGAAAGUUGAUCGAAAGAAAUAUAGGAUAAGAUUGGGUAAUUAAUACUUGGUAAGUUGAAUGUAGCACAAACAUAGUCUUUAGCCCACGUUGGUGGACGUUUGGGGUGCCCGAACCAUGGAGGAUCCUGCAAUUGGUGGAGAGGAUGAUGGUUCAUCAUUAGAAGACCUUGGUAAAGAACUGGAAGCUUCGUCAAUGGGCAUAUUAGCAAUUGCUUGUUCUCAUGUUGAAACUGGAGCAAUAUUCUCAUCUGGAAUUGGAGCGGGUGCUGAAGGCAUAGUCAAAACAUACUUUGAAUCUGCAGAUAGUGCAUCCUCAAAUAAAAAUUGACGAGAAUCCCCUCGGUUGCGUGAAUCUUAACAGCAGAUUUUCAUGAAACAGGAAGAUGUCCUCAUGGAAAGAAACAUCCCUCCUUAUGACGAAUUCACCUGUGGAAGUCUCAAAGACAUGGUAUCAUUUCUUUAAAUUUGGAUAUAUCAUAAAUAUACUACUCUGGGCGUGGGGACCCAUUUCAGCUGUCAAGGAUUUGAGUGGGCAUGCGACUGAUCAAGUAAAUAGCCGUGACCACUCAAUCUCCCUAAAAGGUUUUUGGAAUGGAGGCUUGGAAUUUUAGUGCACAUGCAACUUCCAAAAGAUGGCGAUGUUUGUGUUCCACCACCCCAUUUUGCUACGAGGUGUAGGUCCAGGAACUCUCAUGUAGGAUGCCAUGAGAUGAGAAAAGAGAGGGGCAAUGAUUGUUGAAAAAUUAUUUCCCAUUAUCAAUGUGACUGCGCUAAAUAGAUUUCCCAAAUUGGUUCUUUGAUAAGGAAAUGAAUAAUAUUAAAUGGGUGAAAGCUUGAUGUUUUGACUGCAUCAGGAUAACUUGUGGCACGGGAGUAAUCGUCCACAAUUGUCAGAAAAAAAUGAAACCCAUCACGAUGUGGUGUGUAAUAAGGUCCCCAAACAUCAACAUAAAUUAAUGAAAAAACAUCACUAGCACGAGUCUUGCUAAAUGGAAAGGGAACACAUGAUUGCUUUGCAAGUGGACAAAUAUGGCACUAAAGAUAAGAAAAUAAAGCACUAUGGCCCAUUCUAGAAUGUAUAAGAAAAUUUCUAUCAUUGGUAGUCAGGUUACACAAUGAUUGUUUAUUCAAGGAAAUGUGAUCACUAGCUUCUAAAUCCAAGCAUUUCUCGAACUAGAAUUUAUCAAGUAAUGAGAAAUACCUGAGAAAUUUCCCCCUUUGUUAGAAGUGCCCAAAUUCUAUAAUGCUUGCAUAAGCCACUGAUAUUGUCCAUACAUGAUGGGCUAAUUAGCAUUUGGACCGGUUGGCCCGGUGACCUGGUAAGCAGCUAAAAUUUCUUUUUCCAUCUUUCCCUUCUCUCCAGGUUUACCAUGCAAUUUCUAGCAAUUAUCGAUAGUGUGAUGUGGACGUUUGUAAUAUUCACAAAAUAAUUUACAUUUUCCCUUUGAGUUCUACCCAAAAUUCUUGGAUGACGUGGCAAAGAUCUAGCCGUUGGACACCUUAUUUCUGCUGCCGUAUCUACUGUCCAAUUCUGGAGAAGGAUCGGCCAACCAUAAGCAGUUUAAUCACUAGAUGCAAUCUGAGCUAUCCAUGGCUUGCCUUUUAAGGGUUCUUGUUUCAGCAAACCCUAAUGCCACACCCUUUCCUUCAUUUAGGUUUUUGUACACAACCUCUCUCCAUUCACGACGAGCCGCGAGCGUGAUCCUAUCAGCUCCUUUCGCGUACUCCAGCGAAGUAAGCCGUUGGCUUUCUUUUUGAACGGCCAACUAAUAUAUUCAUCCGAGCGGCAAUACCGGAUCCAUCACCAAGGUUUGAGAUUGGAACGUCAAGAAAAAUUCAUUCAAAAUCAAAAGGAAUCUUGUUGCCUUCUCUCUUUCUUUCAUCGCUUUGUACUACAUGUCGUAAUAGACAUGUUUCCUUGCUUCAGAUCUGAGAGUGCCUGGGUAAGCGAAAUUUUUUUUGCUUGGUCUAACUUCCCACACAUCUCAUUUAUGUUGUCCCACAUGAGUUUUGAGUCCUCCGUGGGAGGUAAGCCAGUUGCAACUUCAGGGGAAACACAAUGUCUGAUCCACGUUCUCACUAAAUGAUUACAUUUUCUCCAUUACCGUAUCAUCCUUUCAUUUGUCAAGGUCGGAAUGGUCCCAUUGAUAAAACCAUAUUUAUCCUUCAUAAUGAGAGCUCGCUGAAGAGUAAUUUUCCGAUCCUUUUAACUGAUAGGUGGUUAGUCGAAUUUCUGGUACAUUAGCGAUGGAGACAAGUAAGGGGUCGCUGGGCUCUUGGUGACCAAUCAUGGCUAAGAUCGAAUACGGCAAGAACCCAGGUGGCAGAAACGGGUAGGGAUUUCCUCCCAUACUCGGAUUCGUCGACUCAUUUUUUUGCCCCGCACUGUGAAAACCUGCAUUCAAAUCUCUCGACCCAGUCGGUCGCCCCACAUUGAAGGAUCCCGUCCCAAUGGUUGGGCUUGCCUCGUUCACGGCUAGUAAGCCACCAUUGGACUGGGCACUAUUUUCGUGGCUUUGAUUUCUUGGCCAUGAGGUGUUUGGGCUUGGCCCAUAAUACCAAGGAUUGGGCUGCAUCUGAACGGGCAACCAUUGGAAUGGUUGGCCCAUAAAAGGGUUGCCCUAGAUUCGGCUGGGCUUGAGAUGGUGGCCAAUGCAUAUGUUGGGCCCAAAUCGGCUGCUCUUGGCUUCCAACGACUCUAGUAGGUGGGUUUAAGGUAAGAUCUUGAAUGUUCGGAGCUUCUGGCAUUAUCUCUUCUAGGAUAUGUUCUUUAGGCUGCGCAUGAUAAAAUUUUUGAAAUAGAAAUUGAUUUCUGGCUAGAAAUCAAUUUCUUAAUUUCUAUUCCCCUGACAAGUUUUUGAGCAAAGAAACCCGUUUGAUAACAAUUCAAAAUUUCUAUUUCUGAAACAGAAAUCCGUUUGAUAACAGAAAAAAAAAUUCUAUUUCUAGGAAUAGAAAUUGAUUAGAUAACAACAUAGGAAAUCCUCAAAUACAAAAUAAUAGUCGAAAUAAUACUAAUACAUUACAAAAGUUGAAAAUACAAUUUCAUGGAAUUUCCGGCAUAUUAUUAUCCUUUGCCAUUUUAUUAACAAUUGUUUUCCUAAGCGUAUUUAUUUGGUUUCCCUCCUCGGUCAAUAUAUCGUUUGCAAGCUCAUCAUGCGUAGGUUCAAACAAGUACUGCGGAAACAUGAUAUAGGUGCCAUCAAUGACGCAUAUACAGCCUUGUCAUUUUAUCGAAAACUAGUAUAUAUAAGAUUAUCAACAAAAUAAAAUUAAUGGUGUAAAGGAAUAUAUGAGAAUUCUACCUUAAAAUAACGUUUAUGGUUAGGAACCAAUCGGGGGAAGGUCGGUUUAUUUUGAUUCUUGAAUUGAAUCAGUUCAGUUGCUCAUCCCUAAUUUCUUUAUUGUUGCUCAAUGAACCUUUAAUAGCCCUUGCAUAGCAAAGAGAGAGAUUCUCUUUAAUCUCUUGCCUUCGAUUUAAAAUUCAAGAUUGUGUAACAAUCUAAUUAUUUUGAUUUUGCAAGAAUUUUGAAUCCGUAAAAAAAUAACGUUAAAUUUCUAGGCACGUUUUUUAUUCAUCUAUUACGUAAGUACUUUUUCUUCAACUGGUCAUGUGCGUGCCUUUUCUAAGAGGGAAGAGCCCCAUUGUUUUUAAGUAAGCAUUUAAGAACUUUGGUCGUUUUUUGAAAAUUGGGGACCCAUUCGAUUGCCUUUCAUCCUAAAGAAGAAGUUAUAAAAAAUGGAAAAAAUACAAAAAAAAAAAAAACAUGAGCAAAAUAAGAAAAAGAAAAUUAGCAAUAAUUUGUGAAGUUGUGGUUAUGAGUGAAUUAAGUUAGCAAGAAAACGCAAUGUUCUUUUAUAUGGUUUGAUUUCAGUUUCUUAUUUCUAUUUCAGAAAUUGAGAAGUUAAAAAUUUCAGCUUCUGAUUUUUUCAAUUUCUCUAUUUCUGGAAUAGAAAUUUGUUUUAGAAAUAGAGAAAUCAAAUCGCGUUACCAAACGGAUUUCUGUUCCAAACCUGUUCCGGGGAACAGAGAAAUAGAGAAAUCGAGAAAUGGAAAUUUUGUCAUGCGCGCCCUUAGAAGCCGAUGCCUAAUUUUGGGUCAUUGUGAUGGUUAAAAAAAGAAGAAAAAAAGCUCUCUUUUUUCUUGCUCGCUUUUGUGGUUUCAAGAAACCGAUUCCUACACCAAAGUGCUGACACUGUUUUUCAGGUUAGUCUGUCCUUUGCUGCAAGAACAAGGAAGACCUGCAGACAAUCAAUUGAUAAAGGGGCAGAAGCUAAAUUAGGAGUACAAGUGCUCUAAUACCAUAAAAAGGAAUUAAGGAAGACAAGGGAAGAAGGGGAAGAUUUUCUAUAUUUCUUUCGUUAAUUACUCAAGUGUACAAAGCUCUGUAAUUAUAGUACAUGAUGUUUACAGAUGGAGGGAAAGAAAAUAUCCCAAGAAUCAAAUCCAAUCUUUGAUUGAUAUAAUAAAUCAAUCUGAAUCCGAAUGGAUAUUGCACAUCUUGAGCAUAUAUUCCAAGAGGUCGGCUCUUUCAAGCCUAGCUUUUGUUGUAAUGCUUGCAAGCAUUAUUUAGUGUACUUUGUGCUGCAAUACUAUCAUCCCAAGUAGCAGGAAUUGUUGGGUAUGUGACCCUUUACUCUAAUAUCACUUGUUAGGUACGCCGAAGCAUUGAGGUGGUAACAUGGGAAAAUUGUAAUAAACAACUAAAAGCACACUCAAUAUGCUAGCCUGCGUUACAAAUAUAGCACUCAAAAUAAUCAAUAAAAAACAAGUACUACAAUAAACUCUCUGUCACCAUAUAAAAUACUCACUCAAAACAAACUAGCUAUACAAGCACAUGCGCUCAACUAUUCUAUUUUCCCUUCUUGCUCACAGAGGGAUAACUCGCUCACAUAGAACAACUUUCUCUAGGAUGCGGUGCCUCUCUCUCUCUCUUGACUUGAAGCUCACCUUUGCACCUGGUGACUUCCCAUUACGAAGCUCUCAUGCAUGUCGCUUCUCACCUGGUGGCUUCCUCUCUAGCUUGAGGUUCUCUGCCUGCGUGUGGCAUGAGGUCCUCUCCCUGGCCUGAGGCUCUCUCUCUUAGGUUCUUUGCCUGCGGUGGCUUGAGGUUGUUAAGCCUGCGGCUCUUUCCUAUCCUGUUGGGAUUAACGGAUUCCCAAAAACCGGAUUCGACACUAAAUCGAACCCCUAAAACGAAUGCGGAAGACAAGCCCGGGAAAAUCACAUAUCAUCGAUCAUAAAGCACACCACGGAUUCGAACGUACCUUGUUAGCUACAGAUUAAACACCGACAUCGAUAUGAGGAAGAGAAUUUGGCCAUGUUCGAUCCGAUGACGCCAAUUCGCCUUGAAGGGAAGAAAAACGUUGCCUUGUACUUUAUUGUUUUUCUUUUUGGAGAGAGAGAGGGAGAGGGACGUACGUACGUUAAUGAUUCCAAAAGGUGCGUUCUCCCUCUCUCUCCUCCCUUAUAUACGUCCCCUCUAAAAAUAUUAACAUACCCCUUCAUCCAUGGGCCCUAAUCCUGUGGGCCGGGCUUUUAGGCCCAACAUGGGCGGACGGGCCUUAAGCCCAUUACAUAAAACCAUCAUCUCCCACUCGCACAUGGUGGGCCGAACAGGAUUCUCUUUACCUCUCUUCAACAUUCAUACCGGUGAAUAAUCCAUGCGACCAGCAUACUUUGAGAGCUCGUUGCUAUACAUCUGUUAGGAAUAUAUAGCAGCUCAUAAUGGGCAUCACACUCUGAGUAGAUUUAGUAUGCAGUACCCUAGAUCGAUCGAUCACAUUUAUAUCUCUCUUGAUCUCUUUUAAAUAAUGAUAUAUAUAUUGCAUUCACAAUUAUGAUUAUCCCAAAGACAGUCAUAAUUGGUCGACCAGUGAAUACAAAACUACAAUGUGAUUCUCCAAAAUCGAUCUUCCUCUUUCCUUCAAACUCUCAAUUUCAGUUCAGCUUGCUUUUCUAGAAAUGUCCCAUUAGAUCGAAUCAACUCAUGACCAUUGGCAACAUUUUAAGAUAGCAAACACUAAAUAGAAAUCUUGAGAAUAAGUAAGAGUUAUGAGGGCACUAAAAUUGAGGAACUCUUUUCCUCAAAAGUCUCAUACGUCAUAAAAGUUGAGAUCAAACUUUUUACCACUCUUAUUGGUCGUCUCAUGCAUACGUAGUAUGAAAUACGUAUUACGGUAUUAACUCAUUUCCCAUGGAGCGUAUGUCUACACUUUCAAUACCGUACAUAUGAUAGUUCAGACAUACCCAAUGUCUAACUUGAGUUCACGUAUCUACUCAUUCACAAAAUUCAUCAAAACUCACAUCUGGUAUCUUGGACAGAUAAAGUAAAAUAUGUGGGGUAUUUUACUUUCGGACAUAGUAAGUAUUAUGUCCUCAUCUUAACACUCAGUUAAGGCGACAUACGUAUUUUACGCUUGAGUUCUCGAUUAUCACCUAGAUAAUAAGCUUAAAAAACAAUCUCAUCUCUAUUUAUCACACAGUAAAUAGAGGCGAUUACCCGUGUGAGUGGGCUAAUCUUAUAUAUGUUUGACAUACUUUCUCAACUUAAAAUAAUACACUGAGCAUUAAGAUGCAUAAAGAUCAAACAAAGAUUCAUAGGCAUUAAUAAUGAAACAACACUAGUUCAUAAAUGUGAACAACUCAGGGAAAUUACAAUCCAGUACAUCAGACUCUACGCAAUCCUAGAGAUUUUACAUGACCACAAAACACAUCUCUAGGUAUUGGCUUUGUCAUAGGAUCUGCUACCAUUCUAUGCGUAGAUAUACACUGUAAGUUCACAUCCUUUCGUGCAACCAUAUAUUUGACAAAAUUAUACUUGGUAUCUAUAUGUUUGGUCUUGUCAUGAUAUUUUGGAUCUUUAGUGUACGCUAUAGCUGCUUGGCUAUCACAGUUAACCAAUAAUGGAUUUGCAGCUUUCUCAAUAACACCUAAAUGAUCCAAAAAUCUCUUAAGCCAAACUCCUUCUUGUACCGCUGCUGAUAAUGUCACGAACUCAGCUUCCAUCGUGGACAAGACUAUACAUGUUUGCUUCUUACUGCUCCAUGAUAUGGCGCCAUUGUUCAGUAAGAAAGCAAAUCCAAAGGUAGAUUUUCUUUCAUCUAAAUCUCCUCCCCAAUCAACAUCUGAAUAGCCUUCAAGUCGCAGAUCCUUUUCUUGGUAAUUCAACUUGUAAUCAGCAGUUCCCUUCAGAUACCUCAGUAUUCUCUUAACGGCUUUCCAAUGUGCUGGACCUGGAUUGGAUUGGUAUCUACUCACCAUUCCAACUGCAAAACAUAUGUCGGGUCUUGUACACAUCAUAGCCUACAUCAAGCUCCCAACAGCACUAGCAUAAGGAACAUAUUUCAUUUGUUCCUUCUCUUGUGGAGUCAUUGGACACAGUCUAUGGCUUAAUCCUUCACCUUUUGCAAUAGGAGUGUCUAUGGGUUUACAAUCUUGCAUACGAAAUCGUUCAAGAAUCUUAUUUAUAUAUGUUUCUUGCGAAAGAAACAACGAUCUCUUGAAAUCUUAACUCCAAGAAUGUAUGCAGCCUCACCCAUAUCCUUCAUCUCAAAGUUGGAAGACAACAAACUCUUGACAGUAUUAACAAACUCCAUAUUGCUUCCGACAAUCAGUAUAUCAUCAACAUAUAAUGAUAUGAUCACAAAUUGAUCCUUGGAUCUUUUGAUAUAUACACAAUGAUCCUCAUCAAUCAUUGUAAAAUCAUAUGCCAUUAUGGCAUUAUGAAAACGUAUAUACCAUUGUCUCGAUGACUGCUUAAGACCGUAUAUUGAUCUCAAAAGUCGACAUACCCUUUCUUCUUGGCCUUUCAGUAUGAAACUAGCAGGUUGUUCCAUAUAUAUUUCUUUAUCUAAUUCUCCAUUGAGGAAAUGAGUCUUUACAUCCAUCUGAUGUAACUCAAGAUCCAUACUAGCCACUAUUGCCAGAAUAAUGCGAAUCGAUGUAAAUCUCACUACAGGAGAAAAUGUAUCUUCAUAAUCAAUUCCUUCAUGUUGAUUAUACCCUUUCGCCACAAGGCGAACCUUAUGCCUUUCUAUCGAGCCAUCAGCCUUUCGCUUUAUUUUGAGAACCAACUUGUUCCCAAUAGCUCUACGUCCUUUUGGAAGAUCAACCAGUUCCCAGACUUGGUUUGAUUUCAUGACUCCAUUUCUUCUUCCAUUGCAUGAAUCCAUUUUUCUUUACUAGGGCAAUUCAGAGCCUCAUUAAUAUUUCUUGGCUCAUCCUCAUCUUGUGGAGCAACCAUAAAAGUUUCCCCUUCAAUGUCAAAACGUUGACUGGGAAUACUUUGGCGACUUGUUCGCCGUAUGGGAGAUUGUACACUUUGCACAUUAUUCCCCAUUAUGCUCCCAUUUGGAUUAGAUAAUGAUGAUGUCGUCUCAUCAUGUGGUUGCAACUGAGAAUGAGUUGAAUUCAAUUCAUCAUUUCUCAUAUCACUCCCACUUGGACGAACUUUAUUAAUAUCGUUAUCUUGAUCCAAGGUUUCAAAUAGGGAGUAAUCUUCCCCUAUUUCGCCCUUCUUAGGAAAUUCAUCCUCUAAGAAUGUGACAUCUCGUGAUUCAAAUUCAGUUAUACUCCCACUUUCCUGCUCACCUAUGAACAUAUACCCUUUCGAGUGUUCUGAGUAUCUUAUGAAAAAUACUCUUCUUUCCUCUGGGACCCAAUUUCCCAAACUUGUGAGAGAACUCAUGAGUAUAGGCAGCACAACCCCAUGGCUUAAGAAAACCUAAGUCCGGUUUUCUACCUGUCCAUAACUCAUAUGGAGUGGAAGUAACUGAUUUGGAAGGCACCCGGUUAAGUAUAUAGACAGCAGUUAACAACACAUCACUCCAAAAAGUAAUAGGUAAGUUAGCAUGCGCCAUCAUGGACCUAACCAUUUCCAGUAUGAUUCUGUUUCUUCUAUCCGCAACACCAUUUUGUUGAGGAGUAUAUGGAAUAGACAACUGUUUUUCUAUUCCUUUUUCAUCACAUAAUUUUCGGAACUCAUCAGAUAAAUAUUCUCGACCUCGAUCGGAUCUCAAUGCUUUUAUUUUCUUGUCUAAUUGAUUUUCUACCAGGUUCAUAAACCUUUUGAAACAACUUAAUGCUUCAUAUUUAUGAGAAAUCAAAUAGACAUAUCCGAAUCGAGUAUAAUCAUCUAUAAAGUGAUGAAAUAAACAGCCCCAUGCCUUCCUCUCACAUUCAUUGGACCACAGACAUCAGAAUGGAUUAAAUGCAGAGGAAAUUCAGCUCUUUUACCUUUUCCAAAUGGUUUCCUUGUCGUUUUCCCUUCUAGGCAAUGCUUACAUAUGGGCAAAUCGACUUUUUCAAUGUUGCCCAACAAGCCAUCUUUGGCUAGUCUAUUCAUACGUUGUUGGCCAAUAUGACCAAGUCUAACAUGCCACACAUUUACAUCAUUAUCAUACGAAUUAGGAGACGUGAGAAGGGAAUAACAAACAUUUGCAUUAACAUAGUCAAUAUCUAAUACAAUGAAACCAUCCAGAAAAUAACCACAACCAUAGUAAUUUGUAUCCAAAAACAAAUCCACACAUUUAUUAUGGAAGUUCAUAUUAAAACCUAGUUUAACCAACACCAAAACAGACACUAAAUUCCGACGAAUCUCCGGAGCAUACAAUACAUCAUGAAGAAACAAAGUGCGUCCACCACGCAUGUUCAAUUGGCAGGUGCCAAUUCCUUUCACUUCAGCUCUGGAGUUGUUUCCCACAUAGAUCCACUUAAUUCUAGUUAGUACUCGUCGGAAUUCCACAAAUGAUUCUCUAUCCUUCGCUACAUGGUCUGUCGCUCCUGAAUCUAUAGUCCAUAAAGGAUUAGACUCAAUUAAGAAUAUAGAACUCGACACAAAAGUAAAGUUCUGAAAAGUACAAGGGGUGUUUACCUUCUUUGGCUCACGACAGUCGCGAGCAUAGUGACCCUUCUUGUCACAAUUGUAACACUUCACCCUUGUAAGCUUUUUCAUUCGAGGACGCUUUCCUCUUUCAUGUUGGUUAAGCUUGGGUUUCUUCCCUGAAGGACCUACUUCCUUGCCUUUCCCUUUAUCAAACCAGUUAGGACGUUUGCGCUUAGAGCUCGAAGCUCCAUGUGAGCUAGAACCAGCAUGAUAGAUUUCAGCUUCUGGCUUAGCCACCAAGAGGCGGUCCUCUUCCAGCUCAAGAUGACGCAUUGCAUCCUCAAAGGUUUUGAUAUUUUCAUUAUGAGUCAGGUGCACCUUCAUAUGCUCCCAACUCUGAGGCAAGGAACAAAUCACUGCUUGCACUUGCUGCUCAUCAGUGAGGACAUGGCCAGCAUCUUUCAACUCAUGUUUGACAUCUUCUAAGAUGUUGCUUCAUGGUCUGACCAUGAGGCUUCUUAUAAGAGUCAAACCUAAUAGUGAGCUGUCUCAGUCUGGUCAUCGAAGUAUGACCAAAUCUAGCUACCAAUGCUUCCCACAUUUCCUUGGCAUUGUCAAAACGCCUAAACUCUCGCAUGACGUCAUUUUUCAUGCUGCUCAGCAACGUGAUGUGAGCAAGAGAGUUCUUUCUUUUCCAUGCAGCAAAACCUUCCUUAUCUCUCUUGUGCUGUGCAGUGUUUCCUUCUUCAGGUUCUACCAUGGUCAGGUUAAGAGCUUCAAGUGCCUCUUGCUCUUCCAGCACAUAUUGGAUUUUCAUGUGCCAUAUUUCAUAGUUGUCACCAUUGAGCUUUUCACCUUUGUUCAGCUCGGCAACUAUGCUCUUUGUGGCUGAAGCCAUUGAUCUAAACACAUCAGACAUAUAUGCACAAAUUAUUAAUGCCUAUCACUUAUGCAUCCCUUUUGCACAGACCCAUCAUAUUAAUGAACAAUUUCAAGUAAGGUUUUAGAAUCAAAAGGUCACUAAGUUUCCAAUCAUCCUCCAAAAAUCCUAACUUAAAACUAUCAUUAAUAUAAUUGUCUUAUGCAAAAUAAAUUCUAUGAAACUACAAAAACUUUUAUAACUACCCACAAUAACCAGCAAUAACAUAAAGCAAAUAAUAAUCGACAUCCAAUAAAACAAUAAUGCUUUCACAUAAUACAACUAACAUAUCGGUUGCUACAUCAACAACAAUCAGGUAGUAAAUAUUACAUAAGAUGUCCACAAAGCACACUUAACAAUGAUCAGCCAAUACAUCUAACACCAAGUCAGCACACGAACUGGGAAAGAUCCUCUUUUAUUCAAUUUCUUGAUCUUUUCCCUUGUAACAAUCCAAUAAUAUUCAUCUACAAAAUCCAUCACAAUUUUCUUAUAUGAAGUAGCUCUGUUGACAUCCCAUAUGCGAUUCAACACUCCUUGCCAUUCAGGUGGAAGGGUGUUCAUGAAAAAUCGCACCAUCUCUGACUGUGGCAUAAGACGACCAUUCCAUAUGACCUUUUGAAUUUUUCCCGUUGACUUCAAGGACGUGAUUAAUUAAGUCACCACUCUCCCAUCGAUGAUCAGUCAACUCAGCUAUCAACUUAGAAAGUCUUUCCUUUUGUUCAUCGGUAAUUGCGUGAAUAGGUGUGCGCAACCUCAGAGGAUACAUUGUUCCUGCAACAAAUACAGAACAAAUAAGGAAUCACAUAUAAUCCACAUAGACUUAAUUGAAAAAGAAACACAUUCUUUUCCUCCCUUUUUUUUUGGGGGUCAACGGUCAACGUAGUCGGUCAACGGUCAACGGUCGUCGAUCAACGAUCAGGUUGCUGGAUCGUUGGACCGGUCGGGCCGGGUCGGAAGAAUCGACCGGCACGAGCCACGCGCGUGCGCAGGCUGACGUCACACAGACGUCAUCCGGCACGUGCGCGGCAUGUGCCAGGCUUCCAACGGUCGUCGGCGAUGACAUCAUCCCAGUGGUUACCGUGACGUCACUGUGACGUCAGCACACGUCGGUUCGCCGACCGGCGUGUGCCGGUUCGCCGGCCGGCGGCGCGCACGUGCCGGUUCGCGUGCCGGUUCGCCAACCGGCGCGUGUGCCGCACGCGCUAGCCUAGCCAGCGCUUCGAGCGCGUCGCGCCUACGCGCAACGGCUUCUGGCCGCACGUGUGGGCGCGUCCGGCAACGCCCGACCCGUCGACGAACUCGUCUCGACGAGCUCUUUCACCCUAUGCCUUCAGAAAUCGAUUUUGACUUUCAGAAACUUGAAAAAAUGGAUGAACGGUGCUUGGGUGUUGGGAUUUUUCGCCCCGAUCCAUGUCGGCCGAGUAUUUUCGCGAAAAUUCAAUAAAAAAACAUGAAAGGUGUCGGGAAAACAUGAACUAGGGCUAUGAUACCAAUGUUGGGAUUAACGGAUUCCCAAAAACCAAAUUCGACACUAAAUCGAACCCCUAAAACGAAUGCGGAAGACAAGCCUAGGAAAAUCACGUAUCACCGAUCCUAAAGCACACCACAGAUUCGAGCGUACCUUGUUAGCCACAAAUUAAACACCGCCGCCGAUAUGAGGAAGAUAAUUUGGCCAUGUUCGAUCCGAUGACGCCAAUUCACCUUGAAGGGAAGAAAAACGUUGCCUUGUGCUUUACUAUUUUUCUUUUUGGAGAGAGAGAGAGGGAGAGGGACGUACGUACGUUAAUGAUUCCAAAAGGUGCGUUCUCCCUCUCUCUCCUCCCUUAUAUACAUCCCCUCUAAAAAUAUUAACAUAUCCCUUCAUCCAUGGGCCCUAAUUCUGUGGGCCGGGCUUUUAGGCCCAACAUGGGCGGACGGGCCUUAAGCCCAUUACAUAAAACCAUCAUAGCCUAACUUCAAAUGCUUCACGUACUGCCAUAUUUAGAGGAGUUCCACUGCCUCUUGAAGUCCAAUCGACUUCAAUGUGAAAGAAUCCAGCCACAACUUUUCUUCUCUUUCUUUGCCAGCUUCAAUUUGUUAACAGAUGGCUAAUCAAUGCAUGAAGACUAUCUUGGACUUUCCUUUUCUCUCUUUUUGACCAACGUGUUGCCCCUGCUUCAUGAAGACUUCACUCUCUACUUGUGAGAGGAUACAAUAUUAUAAUAACGUGUGCUCGUAAUUUUUGACCAAAACUUCUUUUUUCUUUUGUUUCAUUUUAUGGAGGUUCCAAAGGCAAUUUCCAAUAGGACACUUUUGUCUUCAACAGCUUCUCAUUGCUUCUUCAUACUUGCGGCUUCUUGUUUUCAACUAGGUGUUGACCAGAAGUUACAUUACUAUCAUCCCAAGUAGCAGAACCAAAAGUUACAUCUUCCAUAAUGAUUUCAUUACAUACAUAAACUCUGUUUUCAGUGAAUCUUUUGAGUUUUUAUUACUUUCCUUGUGGACAGGUGAAUGUUGAGUGAGCGAACGAAUAGUCAUCAUAACUAUAGUGAUGUAUGAACCAAUGAUCCCACUCCACCUAGGAAUCAGAACUUACUCCACCCUAGGCCUAGCCACUACCGAGUUCCAUGCAACUGAGGACAGGAUCGGCCAGUUAAACAGCGCUCGCCAACUAACAAAACCAAAGUUACAAGCCAAAAACUAGUGCAAAACUAUCAUUAUUUUAUAGCCAUGCUAAUUACCUAACAAAUAAAUUAACGUUCCACCCAGAAAGAGCACAAUGUAUCAUAAAAUGCAUCUCCAUCAUUGUCAACCUAUUCUUGAGUUGUCUCUUCCAAAAACCAAAGUUGUCGCCCAGUUCACCGCGACAUAGAAUCUGUUCCUCUAGCUGACUACCCUCGUGAGAUAAGCAGAAUGCCAAACCAGCCAACUCACAAAUCCCACAUGCAAUAUUCCCUUUGUGUCCUGCAAAAAGAAUGUUUGCAUAAGUGACAGUCAUUAAUUUAGCGAAUAAGUACGGGCACAUCAAAAUCUAGGUAAUAAACCAUUAGUAUGUCAUGGUAGCAUGUUAUGUACCUUAGACUUGUGUAAAUUGACAAGCGCCUUGUAACGCCCUACAGAAGCCAUGCUUCCCAAAUGUCUGUACACAAAUGGGUCUCUUAGAGGUAUGUCUUUCGAGCAAAAUGCUUUCCCUCCAUUUUGCUUCCCUAUCCUACGAAGUAGCUCCUCCAAGAAUUUCCCUUCCCUUUCUGUGACUUGUUUCAGAAAUUAGCAUUCGUGUUAUUUCCAAAGAAAGAAGGAAACCGAGCGUUUAUGCAAUGAGAAAGCAAUGGUGAAUGACCACUUCCAAGUUCAAAUGGAAGGAUGAUGCCACUUGUUAUACAAAGUAGAGCAAGGAACUAAAGUUGAAGAUUGUAGAUCAAACCAAAAGCUACAAUGAGACGUCUUUAAAGGAAUUAGACAGGGUGACUGAACCUGAGCUAAAGCAAGAAGCACCGGCCUCCCUGUCUGUUCAAGAAAACCCGCACAAUCUCCCGACGCAAAACACAUCUUCCAUUGAAGGUAUCCUCAACCAUUCGUCAACCCCAAUCCUAAAACAGUUGAGAGGACAAAUCAUUCAAUUGGAAGGUGGUGGAAUGCUAAAAUGAGAUCAUCAUAAGGUUCUUAUCCUCACCUUCCACCAGGGGAUUUGGGAAGAUCAAGUGACUUGAUAAACUCUAAGGGUCCAACGCCGGUGGACCAAACUAGGAGGCCAUAUGGAACAUCCGUACCAUCACUCAGCACAAUUUUCUUUGCAUGCACCUCUUUGACCACGCCUCUUUUAAGGCGAACACCAGACUAGCAUUGAAAGCAUUAAGGGCCCGUUUGGUUCAGCUUUGGGGAAAUGCCAUUGGGAGAAUGCAAAUACCUUUGAGAUAAAAGGGGUUUUCCGAAAUGCUAGACUGUUUGGUAAACUAAAACUGAAAAGUGCUUUAGGGAAAUGUAAAACUGUUUGGUAAACUUGUAUUUGAAAAGCCAUUUGGUAUGACCAAAUUAAGUGUUUUAGUUUUAAUAUUUUUAAAAUUGCAAAAAAGAAACAAUGAGUAUACAACAUUUUACAUUUUCAUGUUGAAAGUAAUGUAAAAGAUACAUAUUAGUAAAUUUAUUUAAAAAUUAUAUUAAAAGAAUUUGAUUAUAGAUUAGAUGCAAAGCUCAACUUUUGGCCUAGGAUUCUUUUAGGUUUGUUUUCAACUUUGAAUAGUUUUUUUUAAUUAUUAUAGUAUUAAUCAUAUUCGUUAAUUAAUUAUCAUUCUAGUAUAUUAAUAAAAAAGUUGGGCUAUUGAUUGUCAAAAGAUAAAAAUGAUAUAGCAAAAAAGAAAAAGUGAACUUAUUCGGUGGAUGAUAAAGCGACCGAUUGUGGAUGCUAUUUUUUUUUUUAGUAAACACCGCAUAUAAAAAGGGAGGUCUUCAUUAAGAAAAAUAAAACCAAGUUCCUCUCAUACAAAUUUGACUAGAAACAUUUCAUGAUAUUUAACAUGGUCAUAUAUGUCCCAAAAAAAAAAGAAAUACGUCGAAUGCAAAUCAACAUCAAAAUGAACUGUUAGAAAAGAUGACAGUAACUUGAGAAAGAAAAUCAACUUACCCUUGUUAGAUGAUUCGUCGCAUACUGCCUUAAGCUAACGUCGAAUGCUGACAGGAUUUCAUUGCCUAUUAAAGGGUGUACUUGUCAUUGCAUGUUAUUUACAAUUUUUCCGAACUGAUGCUAGCAUCUGCAUGCAAGUGUGUAUGAGUACCUCAAUAAGGGUGACUUGAAUGUAAUCCUUAACAUGAGGAAAAUGUUCACAAACGUCUUUCAUGAUAAAAUCACUUAAUUCAUCACUAAACUCCACCCCAAUUGGUCCACCUCCAAUGACAAUACAGUGUAAAAGGCGUUUCCUCUCUUCUUCUAAUAUGCCUAUAAGAUACAGAGAAAUGAAGCCGUAAAAUCUCGCCGAUCAUUAAUUAUUGAAAAUGUGGAGGCGACAACAAUGAGCAUUUUCUUCUAUUUUUGUGGCUUUGAAGGUUGCUCUUUAAGUGCAAUUCAUGACGUAGGAGAAUUGAAGUACCUGGAUUUUCAGAGAGCAUGAGGUUCAACAAAAGCUUCUUCCUGAUUUCUUGGGCAUGAUUCACCUCACGAAGGAAGUAGGCAUGUUCCUUAACACCUUUUGUACCAAAAGUCAAGGGCUCAGCUCCGGCUAUGAUGACCAGCUUGUCGUAUGCGACUUUAAACCGGUAAGGCUCUUGAGACAGUCUGCCGUAGCCAACCGUUUCACAGUACACCUGGUCAAUAUGGAAUGAGAUUUACCAAAAGAGACAAACAGAUAGGAAUUACGUAGCAUAAUUGCAAAACCUAGUGUCUUUUGACAUUUCGUACUGGUGCAUCUUCAGUUCCAUCACCUUGAAGAAAUGAAAUUUAACCUUAUCUCACUAUGCAGUAUGUACCUAAAUCACUUUUCGACAUGUCCAACAGUGUGUACAAUGCAUGUCGAUAUAUGUUAGUUAGUUCACCUAUCACAGACAGAAUUCUUAUAGCCAGGACCUCGACACAAAUGCAAAAGUGUGGACAAUCCAUCUCAAUGUUUGUCACUCGGCAUAUCGUAAAUUUAUGAUGUUUGUUCAUUGCUACUUGAAGAAGAUGGAGGAAAAUUCCAGUCAAUCAAUACAUGCAAAAUGAAAUGGAACUGACCAUAUUCUUGGAGGAAAAACUAUAUGAGCAUCAAGAUCAACAUACGAUAGCCAGAUAUUCAACUUACUUCAUGCUUGGCAGUGUCAAUUCCAGUGCAGGAAGCCAAAUGGAAGUACGAAUUGGGAGUUGCCGCAAGAGCAGGCUCUAUCCAGUUCACGGGCUCUGUGACCGAACGGAACUCCAAAGUUCCAACACAUGUCGAUGGAAGAAGGGGAGUGAAAACCAUGUGAUUUCGGGGGGAAACGCACACGAUAUCAUAUAUGCUCAUAUCAAGCCCCUUCAUGAACCGGCAAGCCACCCACCCAGUACCAAGAACGACCACCCUUGGCUUUUCUCCGGGCUUAGUCGGUUCAAGACCUGUAUAUCUGUCCCUCUCAUAUGCAGAAUCGGACUCUGCCAAUGCCCUCUCAGUGACAAGAAAUUGAUCAUGUGGGGUUGUCCUAAUUCCUCUGCUCCACUUACUAGCACAAUCUAACUUAUUCAAUGGUCAAAAAAAUCGCUUCUCGUGGGGAUACCUUUGAAAGAAGAAAAGGAAAAUGAUUUCGCGAGUACUCCUCUAAAAAUUUCUUCUUUUCCAUCUGUCAGGCUCCCAACAGCACCUCCUGUUCUUCUCAGGUUGCUUCGAACAAAACUUGCAAAUGCCAAUGGGUAAAACACUAGUAAUUCAAAUGCAAGUCAAUAGCCUGGAUCUUUAGGCCUAUUGAUGAAAUUGCACCUGAGAAAAAAGAGACGCUUGGGCUUAAUGCUAUAAGAAAAGCAGAAAGAUAUAGAGAAAGACUGUGCAAUCGCUCCAUGAUAUCAGGAGGAGGUAAAGACAACAUGUAGAACAACUGGAGUUUGGUCCAAGCGAAAUGGAGACAAGUAAUUGGUGUGUGACAACUAUUUCUUCAAUGACUGCUGGGACAAAGACCAGAAGCCAACUUAGCAUGGGUCAUCAACUGAUGGCACAUGCAAUGAGAAAAUUUCUUGUGGUUUUCUAUAAGCCAAUAAAAGACAACAAAAAAGGCCUAUAUUUCUGGUAGGAAAGGCAUGAUUUGUAACUGACUCAUUCAAUCAAAGGCUUGAUCUUUUGUGCAACAGCCAAUUUGAUGAUUUCAAGAAUCUCGUUUGACUAGAUUCCAAAAAUCCACAAAGUGCAAAUCUCACCAAGUGUCAGCAUAUGCCUGGAGGUUUACAUGGGAUGCCAUGAUCGAGAACAGUGAAAAAAGAAUAUCAACAGACACAAACGGUUUGCUUUCACCUGCUCUCUAAUAGGAUGAACACCCAGAUAAAAGUAGAACAAAAGGAAAGAACAGUUCUUUUCACCUAGAACUUUAUCAGUUCCUCAAGGUGCAUCACAUAAAGGGUCGUUAGCUGAAUACUGUUUGAGAGUGCAUGUCGAAUAUUUAUUAGUCUAACUACAGAGAGGUUAAAUAAACCAAGUGCAGAUCUAACCAGGGAGCUCUGCAUCUAGAAACACCAACAAUCAAUCAAUAGUGGCCCCCCUAACAAUGUAAAUGCGAAUGGUCGGUAACCCCAAAAGACAGCGACAAAGGCCCCGUUUGGUUCAGCAUUUCCAAGGGCUUUCAACCCGGAAAGCCCUUUGGGAAAAAAAAAGUCAGCCCUUCUUGUUUACUAUCCUGUCCUUUGAAAAUCCUCAAUCAGCAUAGAAAAACUCGGACGUUUCAUCAGGUUCAAGGACUUGUAUCGGAAGCAACAAGCUUGUCAAUAUGCAUGGACAUCGACAAAGUCACAAGUAAACAAGCAUUCGCAACAACCACCUGGUAACACCACCACAAGGUUCACUACCCGCGAUCAGUAUUAAAAAAACAGAGAGCUUCCUUGCUAAUGCUUCAUCAAAAUCCGACCUUUACCGUCUCAAAAGGUCAGAUGGGUCUCUACAUGGUUUAGCGAGGAAAGAAACAAGGAUAGCUCAAACCUUGUCAGUUCUUGACAGCCACCACCUUAUUCAUCUAAAGCCAUGUUACUAAGGAAUUUCGCAUGCCAAGCAAGGGCCAGAGGCAGUAGAGCGAAUGCUUAAACCGCAAGGCGAUGUCAAUGGAGGUUUCAGGUUCCAAGUUCAACCAAGACAAAGCUUUCGAGCUUUCGAGCUUGAGUUGAGGCAGAGGAGAGAGAGGGUCCAAUAUCUCAGGAGCUUCAGACAAGGUGCAACAAUCCCAGAGAAUGAACCUCAAAUUGCGUCACAUGUCCAACGUGGGCCCACGUUGUCAAGCCAUUUUCUCCCUACUUUUCUCUUUAGGCAUUUGGUUCAGCAUUUGGAGGUGUCAUUGGCCAAAUGCUAGCAUUUGGAAUGCUGAUAUAAGAGUUAAUGAGUUUUUUUUCUUUCCAAUAUUACCCCCAUUAUAAUUGUGUUCUCCUCUUUUGCCCUCAUAAGACACUGUUCAUCAUCUUCUUCGGGUGACUGUGCACGGUGGGCGGCGCUCAGCCGCAAGCGACCAGAUCUAGCCGCCAGGAAGCCUCGCUUGAGGUCGCACGACCUCAGGCAAGGUGGCUUGAGGUCGGGUGACUGUGCGACCCAGGCGACGCCCGAGGUCGCCUGACCGCAAGCAAGGUGGCUUGAGGUUGCGGCAGCGUCACCUGGGUCACUCGACCUCAAGCAACGCCACCGGAGGCCCGACGUUGCCUGGGUCAUGCAACCUAGGCUCGCCAGAGGUCAGCGCGACCCCCCCCCCCCCAAACCGCCGUCGCCGCCUCCGCCGCCACCGUCGCCACUAGCCGCCUCCCCACCACCACCGGCGCCACUGUAGAGCCACCUCCCCCCACGAUUUUCCCCUCUCCACCCAGCUGCAUCUCCUCCCUUUCUUCUUUUCUUCUCUUUUUUUUUUCCUUUUUCUUUUCAACCUAAAGCUACUUUGCAAAUAUACACAUUUUUGAGUGUCCAUACACACUAGCAUUCACAAAAUGCCCAUUCAGUCAAAGAUACUUGAGGAAAUGCAAAGUCAUUUCCCCAAAAUUGAACCAAACGGGCCCUCUCUCCUAUAUCCCCACUUUUCUCUCUCUUCUUCUCUCUCCCUCCUCUGCAUGUUCUCUCAGCCAAUUUCUCCCCACUUUUCUCUCUCCUCUCUUUCUCCUCUCUCCUGUUGGAUGCAAAACAUGUAAUCCAAAGAUCUCUAUAACAAGAAUAAGAGCAUAGAUGAUUGAGUAGAAAAAUUAACGUACCUGAUUUGGAAUCCAUCAUUCUUGAUGCAGAAGCGAAAAGCGAUGAUCCACACGCAAGUCAUUCUCCUCUAUUGCCCUAUGUAUCACAAGCUCAAUGAGAUGGCCCCUUACCCUUUAGCACUAGGUAAACGCUCAUUAUGUGAGGAUAGUUAUGAAAAUUAGGAUUAAAUGAGAAACUUGAGCAAUAUUUAUAUAUUUUCCAACUAGGCCCUCUCAUUACAGGCUAGGGGCCCACACUAACAAGUCCCUUAUUAGACUAAUUAAGAAACAUUCUAUCUCACCUUAGAACAACCCCGUAAAACGGUAAAUUACAAUAUCAAAUAAUGUAGCCCACAUCAGGAAAAAGCUUACAUUCUCCCACUUGGGCUAUAUUAAAUGAAAUUGUACUGUAUGUGCGCAUAUUAAUCGAGAGAUAAUUCUUAAUAGUCAAUCUUAUCCCAUAAAAUUUCAAACACCGAAUUAUGGCGGUAACUAUAUGUAACAUAUAGAGCCUUCGAUGGUCACAAGUGCUUUCAAUUUUAUUGAUAUGGAUUCAAUAUGAUAGUGUGGCAAAUGAAUAACUUUUCUCAUAGAGAUAUCCCAUUUGUCAGUCACCAUUCUCUUCCCUUAAGCAUCACAAAAAACUUGUGCUACUAGAGAAUUUCUUUAUGGUUCCAAUGAACCCACAUAUAACAUGUCCUUACAGUUAACAUUUCUUUAUAUAUAACAAGACAUAUGCACAAGGCUAAUAACUGGAUGCCCUUAGCCUUCACUCAAGAUUUAUACAAUACCUUGAGACUUUAUUAAUAUGUAUUCAACAUAAUAACAACACAUUCAAAAAUAUUUUAUUGAAUGCAAAAGUUGAUACAUAUCAAACAAUUACUAAGUGUAAUGAACACAGAUGUAAACUUUAUUACAGUAAAACCGAAAUAACUCUCACUAAACAACAGCAUCUCAUGAUGCUCUUAAGUUUAUAUUAAUGACAUGUCAUUCAAGAACAGAAGAUCGAAGUCCUUUAGUUAGUGGAUCUACAAUCAUAUUAUCUGCGAAAAUAUGUUAUAUUAAAACGUCACCUUUCUGUAUCGUUUCUUUAUGGUAAAAAAAUUGACUGUCAAAUAUUUAGACUCAUUGAGAUCUAUGUCGUUAAUAAAAAUAUUAUAAAUUUAUUGUCUCAAUACAACCGUAUGGAUCAAUCCAUAAAGUUAAAAACGAAUAACUCCUUAAUGAGGUUCCAAAGCCUAAUAGCCUAAGUAAUAGCAUAAAAGAAUGUUACUAACUUUGCUUACAUAGUGGAAGAUGACAUUGAACUUUAUUUACUACAGUUCUUGCUAACAUAAAUAUGUAUUCUGUUAUUGAUCUCAUGUCAUCCUAACAGCCAGCAAAGUUUUUUUUUUUUGUAAAGAACAGCUAGCAAAAUUUACAUCUAAAUACCCUAUGAAGAAAAAAAAGUAAAAACAUAUAAUCGAAGAGAGAAAGGAUGAGGGGUUUCUAGUGGGUGGGUCCAAACAUCACACGUGUCGAUUAUUGAAUGAUUUUGUACAGGAUUGAUGAGGCAUUACUCAUGCACUAGAGUGAUAUGAAACAACAAAGAUAUGGUAAGACGAUGGAGGGAAAUCAAAGGAAGUAGGCGGAAGGAGCAAGAGCGAGAUCGAUCUUGGAUCGUCAAGUUAGAAAAGAAAUAGUCCUUUGAUGCUAAAUUUUCCCUUUCUUCAAAAUAUCAAAUCUAAUCUCGAUAUCAUGUGAAAUCUUAUGAAGAGAGGUCACGAAUUUGAACUCGAUGAUUUGCCUCACUACAGUCGAAGGAGUUUUCCUCUUGAUCUUGUAACAGGCGCUCCAAGGGGCCAAUAAUCAAGACCAAGCAUGCAUCAAAAGUCAUCCUUUUUUCUCAAGGUUAUUUAAUUCGCUUAUAUUGUCAAGGAAAGUAUGAUGUACAGCUUGCUAAAAUUUCGCGUACCAUUCAUGAGAAAAAAAAAGUGGGAAAUCUCUCUUUGUUUGAAACUUAAAGAAUUAGGUCAAGGCUGAACAAAUUAUAUUUGGUUAGCCUAUAUUUAAAUUUCACGUAAUUGACAAAAAUAAAAUAAAAGAUCUUGAAAUCAAAUGAAAUAUAAUUAUCGAAUUGCUACUUAAAAAAAAAAAUCACGCGAGGAAGGAAAAGUCCAUGUUUGCAAACGUUUGCGCUCUCGUGUUUCACCUUCCGCACGCAAAGGUUUGGAGGGCGGCGCCCAGGGCGCGAAGAGACCAUUAAGCCCUCAGCUCAUCACCUCGGCCAAGAAGUCAACGGGAGGGUAAUUAUGGGAUUUCCAUCUACUUAUUCCCUAACCCCCCAAACCAAAAUCACGAGGUCAAAAGUGAGGGAGACAAUGUUUGACGGCGGCCCUUGGUUUUUUUUUUUUUGUCAGUCCUACUCUAUUCCUACUCUACACUCACUCUCAGACUUUUGCCCUGCCUCUUGCAGGGCGUGGGAGUCGAAACCCACUCUUGAAACUUACGCGUCCCCAUCCCAUCCCCCCCUGAGAAGGUGGAGAUUUGAACCCCUCACCUCCCUCUUCCAUGUUGGAAGGGUGGCCACUGGGGCGAAUCCCAGUGGUUACGGCGACGCUUGGUUGGAAUCCAAGAAAAAGACAUUCGGUUUGCCAAUGAGAGAAGACACUUCAUUCCAACGAAUCUUGUUACUUAAUAAUAAUUUUUAUUAAUCAUAUAUUGCAACUUAUCAUCAAGUGAAAAGAUUCAUAAGAAUUAAAAACAAAAAACAAGUGCAACCUUGGGACAAACAAUUUGAUGAAUUUUUUUUUUUGGUAACCUAGGGAACCCGCGCACCAUACCAACACGAACAACCCGAAAGGCUCAGGGUAAUGAGGGGUAAACCCUGAGGGCAACACGUGCUAGCCACCACACACGUGCCACUGGGUAAGUCAACUCCUCCCCUUGCGUUAGAGGGAGAAGCUCGCCGCCAGCAGCGCCACCCAGGUGAGUGGUAACAAUUUGAUGAACUUUUGUGUUAUGCAUUGCAAUAAAUUUCAUCAUCAAUUACUAAAAAAAAUAGAAAACAAAAUAGAAGAUGAAAAUCAGAUUGCAACUCCAUAGUUAGAUGGAGCUUUCGGACUCACAUGAAGGCAAAGAAGAGACACUAGGAAGCUUCCCACAAUCAUAUUCUGCAAUACCCUUCACUACUCUACCAAAGAGGAGCCCAUAGAAUAUGACAUCUCUUAGGAACCUCAUGAAUCGACUAGACCCAUCUUGCACCCUUGCAAUGCUGUGAUCAGUGUCGCCACCCUCAAUCUCCUCUCCUUUGCGUACCUCUCUAUAGCAAAUCCGAUGUCUCCGGUCACCAGUUUGCCGUGCUUGGCAAUUGAGUCCCCAAGGUGCCUACCCAAUGCCACCGCGUCCUCGAGAGCCGAACAUCCUCCCUGGCCCAAGUCGGGAGUCAUCGGGUGCAUAGCGUCUCCAGCCACCGUGAUGCUUGAUCGAAAUAGGUUUCCGAACAGGAUGUCCCAAGGAUAUCGGAACAUCAGUGGUGCCCAUGUCAAACUCGAAAGAUCGGAGUGCUUGACGACAUCGAGGUACACGGGUGGGAAGUCCUUCGCCAAAGUUUCCAUCACCUCCCUUUGUAUCAUUUCUGGAUCUGCUUCUUUUUCCACACCUUUAUAAAUGGAAGCGUUAGGGAUCGAGGAGGAUUAGUAAGCUAGUAUUGAAGGAGCCAUCGUGGUUGGGAAUCUCAGCAGAAGAUAAAAUGUAGUAUACAUGGUACCUUUAGGAGGACACGUGGCCCCGAAGAACCAAUACAAUUCCUUAUCAUUGAGAGCAAUAAAACCUGCCCUCUCGCCCACAUCCAGAAAUUGUUGAAUCGGAUGGCCAUGAUCAAAACCAUGACCUUCUGGGAACACGGACAAUCCGCGCACUGUCGACCGGCCUGAAUAGACUGGCGAGCGAAGUCCAAGCCAACGGGCCACGAUAGAGUGCACGCCAUCGCAUCCUAUAACAACCUAC